rnacentral:lncRNA from 1 species
UUGGGUAUCUUGUACCCCUAAUUCUACUGUCGGACACUUGUCCAUUUUUACCUCUCGUCUCACUUUUUCUUUUCUUUCGAGGUUCCGAGCACUUGCUCCUUUUUAUUUCCUCGUUUUUUUAGAGCAUUCAUCUCUUGAGAUAAUAUAGCAAGUGGUAGUAACAAGAUAACUUGAGCAUUUAUUUCACAAGGGAAAAACAGAAAUAUUUUUGGCUAUUCUCUCCCGGAUUAGGAGUAGAAUAUUUUUGGAUAAUUCUGGCGAUGGAAAUGAAUGGAUAUAUGUGGAUGGUACUUCCGGAGUAGAAGUAGCAUAUAUGAGUGAACGUGCAAGUGAAAUCUUGAUUUAACCACAUGACAAGCUCCUAAGGGUCUACACAGCUUGACCACACUCAAUGCUCAUAAGCAGUAAAUAAUAAAUGUGUGGCUUAAAGUCUAGCAAGCAUGUAUAUAUGGCUGUGGUAGGAAUUUAAACUCUCAUCAUACAGGAACUCAUCAUGGAACAUUUUAAAUAUUUUCAAACAUAAAAUUCUCCAGAAUUCUAGCAUCUCUAGAGAUGCUAGGAACAGAUAAACAGCAGCUCAACCUUCCCAUAUCGUAUCCGUUAACAACUUAGACUUCAGAUCAAAUUUUCAUCCCACAAGUUUAGGUCUAGAGCAAGCUUUAAAUUAUAACUGUUAUAUCUAAACUUGAGAGAGAACUUAAAAUGUGCAAAUUAGGCAGAGCAACUAUUCAUUAUAUCCAUGCUUAGGUUUUAUUUAGAUACAGAUUAGCAUAACCACUUUAUUUAUUUAUUAAACACACUAAGCAAAAUAUAUAUAUAUAAGCACAAAAUCUUUAUUUGGUUUUUCAUAGUUAUGUGUAUUUAUAUUCUAAAAUAAUAUAAGUAUAAAGAUAGAUAGAUAGAAAUACUUAUCGAGAUAAAUGGGGGUGCUCUCCCCCAAGCUGAAUUUUGACGUAAUUUCUCUUGAUGUAGCUAGCAGGUGGCAGAGGUGUAUUUGAAAGUCAGCAGCAUUCUGACAGCGAUUAGAAUGUCCUCCGUCUGCCAGUCUUCUUGAUUCUUAAAUUCUGUGGAGCUCAAAUAGACAACAAAGCUUGUGGAACUUGAUUAAGUGUUAGCAUAAAUAUCUAGCCUUUAUCAUGUUGAGACUCCUUAAUAAUUAUUACUCCCUGUUUUUAUAUUUUUGUUUUUAUAAAGCAGAAAAAUAUUUAUUUUAUUUUUAUGCCACCACAGUGAAUGUACUUAUGGGUUUUAUGCCACUCGUAUACUCACAUGGGGCUUACUGUUUUUCACAUUAUUAUUUUUUUUAUUUUUAAGAUAGUAUGAAUAUGAUUAACUAAGUAAACUAGUUGAAAUAAUUGAAAGAGAAAGGAUAACUACCAAGUUACCUCUUGGCAAGGCGUUCGGUGUUUUUAAGUCCUCCGAACGGGACUCUCCAUUUUCUUAAUCGUCCUGAGGUUCGUUGGGUGGCGUAGUCGGUACUUCCGGCAGCGCCUCCUCUUCAUGUAUAGUUAUCUUCAUUUUCCAUACCUGACUCGGUGCUUUAAUCUCCUCUGGAUAAUUCUGUUUAAACUCUACGUCUACUGACCUUAUAACUUCUCCUUCGUAGUCUGCCCAUCCGUCCUUGAUGAUCUGCCUCCUCUGGUUGCGGUUACGUCUUUUCCUUACCUGCUUAGAUUCUUCAACGAUAUAGUUAGGGUCAGUAAAAUAACGGCGUACCUUCUCUGAGGGGAAGUGCAUAUGGACUUCUCCGGUUCCAAUGUAGAUAAUUGCUUUAACGGUACUGAGGAACGGUCUUCCAAGGAUGAUGGGUGGAUCAUACUCAUCUUCUCCCAUGUCAAUAACUUGAAAGUCUGUGUAGACAAAAUGAUCGUCUAUUUUGACUGGGACAUCAGUUACUAUUCCCUUGACUUCUCGAAAUGUCUGAUCUGCCAUCUAGAGCUGAAUGUAUGUUGGUCUUAGUGGCAUGGUUCCGAAUAAGAGCCAAUAGGUGACUGCAGCCAUUAUGUUGACGCUCGAUCCGGUGUCGCAAAUCGUCUUGUAGAAGUUGUAUCCAUUUAUUGAGCAGUAGAUGCUUGGCAUUCCUGGGUCAUCCUUCUUGGUCAAAAGCGGUGACUUAAGUUGGUGAUCUUGGCCUCCAUGAACUACAGUGACCAUCUUAGCUGACUCGGUCCACACUUGCUUGUUCCUGUUUCUCCUGUUGGUCCUCUUCCUUGACUCACGUCUGGAUUGAUUUGGAAUUUGUGUAGUCUUGUUCUUGAAGAAAAAUGUCUCCUUCUUCCCUUUGACGUAGAAACUGAUCUUAGCAGCACUGGCGUAGAUGAUAGCUCCCGUGGUGUUCAAGAAUGGCCUCCCUAAGAUAAUAGGUGCUCUCUCAUCAUUUCCGGUCUCUACCACUACGAAGUCUGCUGGGGCAUAUAAGGUACCAACUCGGCCACAAAGGUUCUUCAAUAUUCCCUUUGGAAAAGUUAUCGUCUGAUCUGCAAACUGCAAACACAUGGUUGUUUCUAAUAAAGGAUAUGUAAAGAAUUUUUCAUAGAGUACCCUGGGUAUAAUGUUGACACUGGAGCCAAAGUCACAGAGUGCUUCUGAAACGUCCACCCUGCCGAUGGAGAUCGGGAUGACGGGGCGUCCUGGAUCGCCUCUCUUGACCGGCAGAAGGUCAGUAGAGAAUUCAGUGACGGGGUUACUCCAAUUAUUACCUGCAUCAAACAUGUCUACAAGAUUUGCAGAUUCUAAUCCUUCCGGUUGUGAUGGUAUACCGGGGUUAGUAGUAGGAACAGCAGCAACUAUUUGAUUUAACUGAGAUUCAAUCAUUUUAUUAAAGCUAAUUUGAUUCUUGAUGGCAGUAGAAAAAUUAUCCAUUCUAUUAUUUAUAUUUUCUAGCAUUUUAUCAUUAGAUGCCAAUUUCUUAGAUAGAUUAUCCAUUAGCUUGCCUUGAUUAGACACUAACUCUCUUAAAGGUGGAAAAUUAUUAUUAUUGUUAUAAGAAUUGUUACCUUGAUAAUUACCUGAGUAGUUAGGCCUCUGUUGAUUCCAACCUUGAUUUUGUUGAGGACGAUUGUAGUUGUUGUUGUUGUUGUUGAUGAUGUAGUUCACAUCCUCAAGCAUCUCAGGGCAGUGGUUGCCUGAGUGUCCAGUGUCUCCACACUCCUCACAAGUCAUGUGAGAGUCGUAGAUGUGCAUAACUUCUUUCUUGUCUCCAGCUCUAUCGUCGAGCUUCUUCAUGAGUAGGUCUAGCUUUGCAGACAGCAUGUCUACCUCCUUCAGCUGAUGCAUACCUCCACCUCUCUUGCGUGUCUGGGUCCUCUCUUCAUUCCAGCUUUGAUUGGACGCCAUCUUCUCCACAAGAGCUGUGGCUUGUGGUAUAAUAAGUGAUAAGAAUGCUCCUCCAGCUGCAGCAUCCAUGGUUUCUCGGGCACUGUUGCUGAGCCCAUGAUAAAACGUCUGCAUCAAUAGCCAACUCUCCAUUCCAUGAUGGGGACAUUCUAGGAUGUAGUCUUGAAAGCGCUCCCAUGCUUCUGGAACAGAUUCAUCAUUUUGUUGCUGAAAACUUGUAAUCUUCCCACGGAGAGCAUUGGUCUUGCCCAUGGGAAAGAACUUAGCCAGGAAGUUUGUUGAGCAGAGUGCCCACGUAGUAUUCUUCUCCUUUGUAGCGUAGAACCACUGCUUCGCUCUCCCUAACAGUGAGAAUGGGAAGAGGCGAAGUAGUAUAGCAUCUUUGGAAACUCCUGCUAUGGUGAAUGUGUUGCAAAUCUCUAGGAAGUGUUGUAAAUGAGCACUAGCAUCUUCAUGUGCCUUCCCACAGAACUGGUUGGAUUGCACCAUGUUGAUAAGUCCAGGCUUGAGCUCAAAGUUGCCAUCGAUCUCUGCAGCAGGUCCAGUGCGGAUGUUGUCCGUAGUGGGAGCUGAGAACUCGCGGAUUGAUUUAUUCGCCAUGGCUUCGAACUCUGAAGACAAGUUCCGGUGAUCUUCUUGAUUGGAUGAAGCUUCUUCGUGAAGUGUUGAUGAUCUCUUCUUGAGCUUGGCCCUCGUCUUCUUGAAUAAUGCUUCGGGAUUGUCAACAAAAUUUCCUGGAAGAUGUCUUCUAUUCAUACAUUCCCCUGCAUAAGAUAAAAUAGAAAAAUAUCGGGGUAAAACUGUAUGAGAGAAUAGAUAAGCUCAAUCAUAUUAGUGAUGCGAAUGAUAACUCAAAAUCUUUUAUUCUAUUCCUGAUUGGUAAUCAACCUUCCCCGGCAACGGCGCCAAAAAUGCUUGUUGGGUAUUCUUAACAUCAUUACCAAAAGUAGACUAAGUUCUCUAAAUCUAGUAACGGUGCCAAAAAUGCCAAACCUAUCCCUUACACCACUUAAGCCAAGUUGUCAUCCCCAGCAUGAUAUAAGAGACGCGGUAUUGAAAUAUGCAAUUGCUCUUCUAAAUAAAAAAUGAAUGGGAUCUGCAAGCGCACAGAUUAAUACCGAUGUAGCAUUUUAACCGGGAAGUAUUCCAGGUAUCGUUAUUUAUAUUUUUACCACUGGGAAGGGAUUAACGAUCAUCACUAUUGAUUACAGAAUAGAAUAUGAGAUUGAGCAUCUAUCAUUGCAUGUAUAAUUGAGAACAUUAUAUCUAACUCUUCAUACAGGGAUAAGUGUCACAUAAAAGAUAUAUAUAAUAAUAAUAGUGACAAGGAUAACUAAUCUGAUCUAGCCACAUAAUAAAUAUGAUAAGCACCCCAAUUAGAUACUCUAGAAAGUCAUUAGCAUGGUAUUAGAAUGAACUACAAGAAUAUUUCCUAAGUUAUUCUCAACUAUAUAGUCUAGCAUUAUCAUAGUUAGUGCAAGCAUACUUAGCAAUCAUUGCGAGACAAGACUACGCCCAUGCAUAGUGAUAUUAGCAAGGAAUAUGAGAAACAUAGCAAUCACUCCCCUGUAAUAAUGUUGCUCUGCCAGCCCAAUACACGAGAGGGGGACUAUAUAAGAAUCAAUGAAGCUGUCACUAUCACGAACCACCCCACGAUCUGGCAUAUUGGGUACAAUCGCAGACAAAUACGGUAUAAGCACCACGCCUACACAAUAUCUAUCAUUUACACAUGGAUCCGAUGGAUAAACACUAUACGAUCCUAAGCAUGUAUAUAGAUCCAAUCUAACUAAGCCAAGUACAUAACUAUGAUAAACUAAGAACAAUAUAAUCUUGAAUAUAAGCAAGUAGAGCAAAGUCAUAAGCAAUAUAUUGAAAUAGAACAAAGUCAUAUUCAUAAUAUUGAAGAACAAAGAUAAUUAGAAAGCAAUUAGAAGCACAAUUAGAGAAUUACCAAGAAUCCUCUUGACAGAUCCGGAAACCAAUCGAAGAUUGACUCCUUCUAGUUCUAAUCCUAUGUAGCUAUGCUAAUCUAGAUAUCUAAUUGAUGUGGUGGCUCUAAUCUUGAUCAGAGGCUUCUUCUCCCUUGAUGGAACAAUGAAUUAGGGUUGAGAGGCUCUCUCCUCCAGGGGCCAGGAGGUCUGGUUUUAUAGUCCCUUCAAGUGAAUAUGGGCCCUUGGAUCAAACCGACAUAGAUUGUAUGGUUUAGAUUCAUCCUUUAGGUCGGUGGAGAUCUUCCGCAAAGCAGAGUCCUGAUUGGACUCAGGAGGUGGGCGGGCGCCCUGAUCACCUGGGCGGGCGCCCAGGGUUAGGCCCCGUUUCACCUCCGCUUCGGUCUCGUGGCUUCUGGAGUCUUCUAGAUGUAAGAUAAUUGCGCAGCACGUUAAUAUCUUUACGUAAUCCCGACAUGUGGGCCUUUCUUCCAUAUUUCCUGAUAACCCCCUGCAGAAAUAGACAAACACCAAAACUCGUGGAAUUCUGUAAGAUAAAACCCUAAGUCUAGAUGUUGAUUUCAUUUGGAUCCUUUUCAUUAUUUAUUUGAUAAUUAAAUUUGAUACUUAAGGACCGUCAACAGUAUGUUCCUCCUUAGAACCUCUGCCCGGGUUCUAAGGAACAAAACUGUGAAACCUGCCACCGAUGGUUUUGAGGCCUAAACUACCAAACCGUUCGUGAGUGUAGCGUACUCCAUACGUGUCUCCCGCCACUCAACACAUGUCAUCACCAUCCUCGACCAACUGACCCACCAUGUCCUCCUGAGCCUCACUCGACUCACACAUUCACCAUCUUGACUCAAUCAACAUGGUCACUCCUAUGUACACUUAUACUUGUCAAUGUCCCAGAUAUCAGCCAUGCACCAUGGUUGGUCACUCGGCCUCCUGGACCCAUGAUCCAAGCCUCACAUUCGUUCUUCACUACUCCUGAUCCAUCAGCAUGGCACAUCCCUACUUGACCCUUACCUCACCAUUGACCACCGCCUCCGAGCUCCACACCUGCACAAACACAAGCCAAGAGACAUGUUGCAUGACCCAACUCACACCAAUGGUGUAAUACCCGAUUUUAAGGACAAAAUCAGAUAUGCACCAUAUGUGAGUCUUAGAAGGCAAAUCUCACAUAUAGCUACAAAUAAGGGGUAAUAUCAAAAGACAAUGCAUAAAUUAUAUAACAUACUUAGUAUAAAAAAGAUAACCUUUGAUAGCAAACAGCGGAUAGACAACUCCAAACUUCGGGUAUUAACUCCUCUCUACAGGAUCCAACUAACUGGUUGAUCACAAGCCUAACACUUCUCCUGAGGUUUGGGGGAAAUAGCAAGAGUGAGUCCAUGUCGAACUCCACAAAUAUAGCAACUAGGUUGUAUAGCUCCCACAAUCUCAUGAUCAAUGUGACAUAAUUAAUGUAAAGCAUUAAACAAUAAAUAAUGAGCAUAUUUAACACACAGGAAUCAUCACCCUUAAUGCAAGAAUCCCCAAGGCCGCUCUUGACCGUGAGCACGACUAGUAUACUAGUUUAAGCACUCUGUAGAGGUUGCACAUCUUUACCCAUGAGUCAUGAUUUACCCUUUCGCCCGAGGUGAUCAGCCUCUUAACCCACUUCCAAGGAAGGUUGGUAGGGAUCACUAUGAAGCCUUUCAAAGGUUUCAUCUAACAAGUUAGGGCCAUUAGAUUCACUCGGCAGGUAGAUAUAGAGCCCCCCUUCCAUGGCACAUAACCCGCAGCCUAUUCACAUGGACAGAGGCCGCACUAUACCCAACGUGUCUAGCCAUUCUUACGCCAUUUAAGGUAACUGCUAACAAGCUAGAAAAAGGUCCUCAUACUGAGCUAAAGCCAGAACCAUUAUAGCCCUCAUGGUUGCACUAUUGUCCCGGUUAUCACUUACAGAUAAAUCAUCAAGUUGCUAAAAAGUCAUCUUUAUCGCUUAUUACUUAACAUUAAUCUAGUCACAGGAUCAUGGUCACAGAAAUAAAACCUAAAUGCUAUACUUGCCUUAAUCCAAAUGCUCUUGUUGAUCCUACUGGCCUUACUAGUUUCCAAGACUCUGAUCUUGAUCACUGAAGCACUCUUGAUCACCACGAAUUGCUCACCAACUAAUUUCGAUCAUCGAUCACAAACAUACGGAAACAAACAUACACGAAGCAAACAAGGCUACAAUUAGAAUAGUACACUAAUCAUAUAAAAAUAGUAUGAAAAGUUUAUAAAAAGAUUCUACGCAUCGCUACGAUCACACGAACGUAAAGAUCACGAAAGUCGGAGCUAAAACGGAAAAGUUAUGAAUUUUCUAAGAUUUCCUUUAGAAAAAUAAUUAAUUAAUUAGGGUCACGAAAAUAAAAGGUUUUAAACUUAGAAAACAGUGUUACUAACAUGUAGAGCUCAUUAAUACGAAUCCAACGCAAUUUGAAUGGGUCAAAACGGAGUUAAGAUGAAUAUUUUAUGGCCAAAAAAAGUUAGUGGCAAUUCUGUAAAUAGUGAAAACGUAUUUUUAAUCUAAAACCGAGUUGUUUGUGUUUUUCAAACUAAAAGACAGUGAUUAGGGCUUACGUUGGUGGACAAAGAGCAGGUUCACUGGCAGCGACGCUUUCUUGGAGCUACCGCAACGCCGGAGCAGCCGACCGCUCGUAGAUAUCGUGUAUAGGCGAGACGAUGGCGAUCACGUUGUAGAGAAGAAAAUAUAAUUUUAUUUUACUACCUUAGAAAUUCUCAAAUUAGAGGUUUUCUAUAUGGUAGUCUUUGGUGUGCUUUGCCUAAGGGGUUGGUACAUAUAUAUAGGGAGAAAAACUCCCCACCUCCACGUCAACUAGCGAUAUGGUACUAAUUGAUUUGCAACCUUCAUCUUUACUAAUAGGCCUAAUUAAUUAUUAAAGCCCAUUAGUAAAUAAAUACAUGGUUUUUGGGAUUUAUUAUGGGCUUUGACGUUGGAAAAAUAAUAAGAGAUUUAUUAUUUUCGGAAUUAAUUAUUUUCAUUGAUAAAAUAAUUCUAGAAAAGUUUAGAAUUAGUAGUUAAGCCACAAAAAAUACUCCGAAAGCUCUGAAAAUUUGGGAAAAAUUCUCAGAGAUAUUAUAGAACAUGGGGAAUCCGAAUAAAGUUUUUAGAGCUCAUGAUAAGAUUGUUUGGAGCAUCUAAAAAUUAGAUCAUGCUCAGAGAAAAGUGAGAAGAGAAGAUGGAAAAAUUUCCGAAAAGUUUGUAGAGAUUGCUUGAUGGACGAGGAACUAAAAGAAGUGCUUUGAGUGACAAAGAAAAGAUUUUUAGGAAGCUCCUAAUAAAAACUUGAGUUGAGAAACAAGAAAUUUAUUUGAUAAAGAUAAAGACGUACUGGUCAAUAAGGAAGAUCGAUCUACUAAACGCAUUUUAAAAACUUCGCCCACUCAACACAUAAAGGAGCAACAAGCAUCACAUCAAAAUAUAUGAACUAGCAUAUAUGCAUAAUAAUAUUGCUAAGCCUUAUGAUAAAUUUUAAUUUAAUAAAAAAUAUUAUUUUUUCCUAUAUUUUCAUGAACACAAAAAUAUAAAAUUAAAUAAUUUUAUCUAUAUUUCAAAAGGAGUAAAUUUUAGGGUGUUACAAAUGGUUAGUCACCAACUCAACCUAGGUCAUAGAUCAUGUUGACAAUCACUCAUCACAAAUCAAACCACAAUGGCAUAUAUCAACCAUGUGUUCACAAUCUCCCCCUUGAUGAGUUCAUUGUCAACACAAACAUAUGAACUGCUUGAGCAAAAUAAGAAGAAGAAGAAGAAGAAAAGAGAACUCACCCAAAUGACCAAAAGCCAAAGAAAAGCCAAAACAAGGUCAUUUGAAAUGAGCAACACUUGCAAAACUUGGUCCCCAAAGACAUAGGCAACGACUUCAUGCAACCAAGUAAAACAUAGCUAGCCCAUAAGAAGAGGUAAGCAGGCUCAACAUCACUAGCAAAAGUAGCUCAAAUGCAACUCCCCCUGAUCAAAUGCAAUCUCUCUCAAAUGAAUGCAUGCACUCAACAUUAGGUUGAAAUUGUAUCUAUCUCCCUGUAACUUUGUCCCCCUUGUUGACACAUGCACUUAUCAAGCUACAACCCAAAGACCGCAACUCCCCUCAAAACAUGCUAAAGCUAGAGAUAUAGAAAUGCAGGAGCUUUAGGAAUAUAGCAUUCAUAGUGAAAACAUGCUCUAACUGGUGCUGUCAUGUGAGUAUAGCAACAAAUACAAGUGCUAGCAAAUGAUCAAACUGAUCAAGUGAAAUGAAAUAUGACAUUUGAGCAAUUUUGAUCAAGUUUAAGCAAUUCAAAGGAGGGUUCACCACUGAAAGUAGCACAUAGCAAGCAUAAGUAGGAAAUCAACCUAGUGCUAACGAAUGUAUACAUGGUGAACAACCCCAAGUAGCAUUCAUAUCAUGUCAAAGACUAACUUAAGACUUGUGUUUUCAUCAAAUUUUUACUUUUGUCAAAGUUCGUAGCUUAUCACAAGAGUUAGUCAAAAACAUGUGUGUGCAAGAGGUUAUCUAUACUAGGCCUAACUUAUCGACCAUGCCAAGCCUAUGUCAUACACAAGAAUAAGCUUAAGACAAUGAUCUUGGCAUCCACUACAAUGAUACCUUGAUGUAGGACAGUACAGACCCAUCUUGAUCUUUCUCUUUUUGUUUUUCAUCACUUAACUUGAUUUUCAAAUUUUAGCAUAAGGAUAGUUGUCUAACCAAGUGAAUGACUCAAAGCAUGAGCCACGGCAACCUAGUAUAUAAAUGAUAGCAUCAUGGAUCUCAACAAGUCCUACACAUGCUAGUUGUCAAUAUCAAUGGUGAACAAUUUUCAUGUUUCAAUAAUUAGUGAUGUUCACAAUUCAUAAAACAAGCUUAGCUCAUAACAUGCAUCAAGUGAUCAAAAGGAGCCUAAGCCAAAAGCACCAUCAUGUACAUGCAUAACAUCCCAAGUAGAGCAUACUUUCAAUCUAACCACUAUAUUCAUGAAGCUCAAACAUGCAUUAUAGUACAUGGCAAAAUGAAAUGCAGCAAAUAUGAUACAAAAGAUAAAACAAAGACAAAGCUAGAACAAAAACCAAAACUAGUGUUAUCGGGUACCACAAUUUGGGGUACCUAAAGUAGAAGACUAAACGUCCCUCCCGCUCCCCUCAGUAAGAAGCCAGGGUGACUAAACAGUCAUUCUCUAUCUUGCCUAAGACCUAAUAAUGAGGUCUCAGACAGAGCCGAGACCAACCCUUUUUAUCUGCCUCGCCCGAGAUCCAACAACAAGGCCUUAGACAGGGGUAAGACUCAACAAUCUCUGACUCAUCUAACCCAUGGGCUCAAGCACCAUUCUCACAUUAGUGUGCUCAAGACCUUCGAUGAUGUUAGCCAUGAUCCCACAAUGAGGUCAUAGUACAACCGGAUAAGACGGGAAUCAAAUCUCCACCCUGCCCAUGCCUAGGCGGAGCAGGGCAUGACGCUCAUCGUGCUAUCUACCUCCAUCACUAUGUGUACAGCUAGGGCUGGCAUGGACGUUCCAACCUCAAUCUCCCCUAUGACCAUGAACUCGUCAGGAUCUAGGGCACGACCUCUGGCCUAGGGGGUCAUGGGUCUGUGCAUGACUCAAUGAAUAGGAAUCGACCUGUCCACUUUGGGCACAAACAUUCCAUCCAUAGGGCAGGCAUGGCCCAGCAUGAUGACUGCAUGGACGAACAUGCCUCACACUGUAGCAAUGACUGGCUAUAGCACCUGAAAGACAAGAAGCCAUUCCACUACCAUAUAGUAUCAUACCUCGGCUUAGGCUUGAAUUCGAUAGAAAUGGUACAACACAUACAUAUGCAACUCCUGCAUCCCCUUGCAACUAUAAAAGGAGGAGGCAGGGUCCCAUUCUAGGAGAGUUCAUUUGGCUGAACAUAGCACAACACAACAAAGCCACAACACUUCCUCCUAAGACUUGGAAACAACUCCCUCUUUCACCCUGUUUGUAACCCCUAUUACAAGCACUUAGGUGAAAGAUAAUACAAGACCUCAUCUCCCACUAGAUGUAGGGCACUUUCAGCUUGAACUAGUAUAAAUCACUUGUCUCCUUCUUGCAUCACCAUCCGGAUCGAGAGCAUGUAGAUAUAAAUUUACUCAUCGGUGGUAGGACCCCGUGUCCAAACAUCGACAAGUGUACAACACCAAAUGUUCCCCUUCUCUAAAAAGGGAAACAAACUCCAAGCUCUCCUCAUUAGAGAGCAAACUAGGCUUGGUCAAGGGUUUUGGUAAAGAUAUCUUCAAUUAAAGUCCUUAUCAACUAUGCCACUCAUCCUAUUGAAGUUAUGUAGAGCACAACAUGCAACUAUAAUUUGGCUUUGCUUAUGUGGUGGAUAACUUGGGAUCUUGUCCAAAUUUUGACACUUCAUUUUCAAAACUCCAAAGGAUCUUUUGAUGAUGUUUCUAAGAGAUGAAUGUGCAGAGUUCUAUCUCAUUUGAACCUUGUGGAUCUAGGUUGUAUUGACACUCCAGAAGAUGGUACUUGGUUCCCUUAUAUGGCGCAAGGUAGCCUACAUAGUUUGGGUACCCAGAAUCCACUAAGUAAUAUUUCCCUACAACAAUAAAGUUUAGUAAGUGUCAAGUAGUUGAACUAGAAGCCUAAAAUGUAAUACUAGCAAGUUAUGUACCUGUAGGUGGAUGUGUAAAGCAUGGUUGUAUGUUGUCAUUGCAUCAUUGAAGACUCUCAUGUCAUGUGCAGGACCAUCUAGCUAGUACAAAUGUGAACCUCAUGUCAAAGUCACAGACAACCAUGACAUUCUGUGUUAUCAUGCCCUUGCGGCACAAGUGUUGAACAAACUUAUCAUUUGGCACCACACAAGGUAUGUGAGUGUCAUCUAUUGCCCCUAUACAAUCCUUGAAGAAUGGAUAGAACUAGGGUUUCUUUGUCUAUGAUGAAUUGUUUUGAAUCAUGGCUCUACAGCAAGCUAAACCACACACUUCAAAAUUUUGUCAAUUAUUGUGAACAAUGCCUAGUGAUCUCUCAAACCUGCCCUCAAAUUGCCUAACUGACUGUGAAGCUUCAACCAUCUAUAGGAAUGUUCCUAGAGCCUCAACUGAUCUACAUUUGGUACUAAAUUUUAGACCAUAUGAUUGUACUAGCAGAUCAUGAAGACAAUGGAACAUAGUUGGGCUCAUUCUAAACAUGUUACAGCAGGCAUUUCUAUUUCUUGACUUCCUCUCUACCCAAUCCAAACUAGUCAUGGUUGGCUACCUGAUGAGGACAUCACUCCUUUGGAUGCACAAGAUGAUCCUCCGCUGGACAUUCAAGGUCCAAUCACAAGAGCUCCCACGUGACAAUUAAAUUUAUAGGUGAGCUCAUUUCUAGGUAAGCCUUUUUAUGGUUUUGAGAAUAGAUUACUACCUAAUGAUUAUAUUGUGCUUAGGUAUUACGGAGAGGACCAUAUAAUGCAUAAGGGAUGUCUUAGAGGCAUGGAGGACUAGCAAGGGCGCCCAAGUCAAGGAGGAGGCCCAAACCGAGCCGACUUCGAGCCUGUUUUGGAGUCUAGGACUAGCAAGGAGUAAAAAUGAUGUCUAGGAUGCAUCCAGACUCUGUUUUCAAUGUUCCACCCACGGUUGGAAAGAUAAUUUCAUAAGAAAACCAAUGGUAUUGGUUUGAGGUCCAAAUUCCUUCUGAGUCAUUAGGAAAUGUCAAAACAAGUCAGCAUCCAGAAUCUAUUUUAGUGCUGCAUCACCGUUUUUGUUCUAUUGUUUGUGUAUCGUUGUUGAGCUCGUUAGGGGGACACGUCCAGGGGUGGCGAUGACCCCUAGACCUUUAUAUCAAACUACCGCUACUCUCAUUAGGUUUUGAGGUUUUGCUUAGAUUAUUCUAUCAAGAAUAGUUUCACUAUUUCAUCAGUUUGUGAGACCCCAACUCGUGAGAUUAAUCAUUCAUCUACAAAUUCAUUGCAUUCUUACUUGUUCUUGCUUGUGUUCUUUGAUUCACAGGCAAAGGACUUAGCCUUCUUGGCAAGGUCAACCUUGCAACAUCAGUUGAUAACCAGAGGAUGGAUAACCAGAGGAGACGUGGUGCUGUGAUUGUGGGGUUUUGGAUCGUGUUGUUCGGAAGCUAGAUCAUAUUGUGUCUCAUUUCCACUAAAUCGAGAGUUAUGAGAACCUUUUGGAAGAUCAGGCCAUCUUUGUUCACAUCACUACCUAUACUCAGCCCUAUUGCAGUACUUGUCAAUAUGCAUAACAUACUCAGACAUACCAUAGAUGAAUUCAUUGGCAUCAUCCUUAAGAAAAAAGCUGAAGAGCUCCUCAAAGUCAUCAUCACAAUCAUGAGAGUAGACCAUGGCUGCUGAUUCAGCAUCCUCCUAUCCAACAAAAAGGCAUCAACUCAAUCAUGGAUGGCUUUAAGAAAUAGGCUCAUGCAUCACUACCUUUACUAAUAUAUGUCAAUAAAUCACACUCAUGCAACACAAGUUUACAUCACACAAAUAAUUGAAUUUCAUCAAACCUUACUACAUUUAAGUUGUUCAAAUGAUAGACAUCACAGACACAAUUCAUAAGACAAGGUGCACAUACAACUGACAUAGUUUAAAUGACACCAUUACUACAUUAAGUUCAAAUGACAAAUGAAAUAUGAUAAGAGGGUCUAGCUGUCAACCCUGGCAAAGUGCUUAAUGAAGAUCAUCCAUCCUUCAAGCUUGGUUCUAAUGAAAAAGGUCAUCACUGAUUCAUGCAUGAUGAUCUUGAGCACACUGAGCCAUAACUGUGGGUUGUCCUUUGUUGCACCACACUCUCUGGCCAACUGCUAGACAUAUAGGAUCUUUCUUUCUAGGUUUGUUUGUUGCUCCUAGAUGGCUUGUUGUCUCUUGUCACAAAUAGUUUGCAUCAUCACAUUCCUAUUAAUCUGAAUCUGGUUGAAGUCUCUCAUGUUGCUAUACAUGGCCCUUACUGCUGGGCUCUUUGACUUCUUGCUAGGACUAGAGGCUGUUGUGCCUGUGUUGCUAGCCCUCUUGGUGCCAAUGUUGACUGGAGUUUGCUGAUCCUCUUGCUCCUCACCUACCUCUAUGUGACUACUAUCAUAGUCAAUAGGGUAGCUUUUACCAGGCACAAAUGAGGUGGAACCAUCAACUAUUACUCCAAGGAACAUGUGGUCCAUCUUAGGCAAGUAAUCAGGCUACCCAUUCUUCCAAUUUUCCCAAUCUAAAUGGCCAUGCAAAAUGACUUGUUUGUUACAUAGUGUACACUUUAGUAUGUGGUAAACAACAAAGAAGCAAGUAGGUGAAUUACCCUGGUGUUUUCUUUCCACCAUUCUUUAGGAGCAUCAACAGAUCCAUUCUAUCUAUGGUGUAAGCCCAUGUCUUUGUGCAACUUUUGUAUGAAUUCCCUAAUCCUUUCAGUUGUCUAAACCUAUUGCCAAAUUGUUCCCUGUCAUGAACCAAGUUGGUUGCAACAUAGUACCUUUCAAUGACAUCCUUCUAUCCAUCCUUGUUCAUCGCACCCCUCACAUAGUUUUCCAUGUCAACUUGGUGGAAUCAAAUCUCACAAAACUUGUCAAUAUUUGGACCUAGCCAAAUUUCCCUAUCGUUUCUAUCCUAAAGAAUGCAUAACAACAAACCAAUUAAGAAAAACUAAUUGCAGUGAACAAACAUAGCACCAGAGACGAAUAACACCUCAUCCAAACAAGCAAGAACAAGGUAAUGAUAAAUUAAAUAAUAUGACUCAAGAGCAUGCACACAAUAGCACAUCACAUGCAACAUUAUUCAUGACUCAAGAACAUCACCACCACUGUUGCAACUAGUCACCAAUAGGGAAUAAACAUGAUUCAUCUUAGAAAGGGAUGAACAACCACUGCUACAACCAGUUAGUAAUCUAUGAAGGCAUAAACAUGCAUCAACUUUAAAACCAUGACACAACAGUAAAUCAAUCAAAAUGGGAAUCACAUUAUACUAGGAAUUGAGCAGCGGGGAUCUCCCCGUAGCAGCGGGGGCCACGCAAUGUUGACAUGAACUAUGGCUCCUUGAACCGCCAAACACAUUGAAUGCACACCCGUGCAGGCAAUAUAGGGGAGCGGUGCGGCCUCCUCCAACGAGCACUAAACUAGCAUGCUCGGUCGUGGCUCCUCCGCCUCCUCCGCCACUGUACGGCAUGCACAAGCUAUAGGGUUUGAUUGCCACUAUGAGUAGGGAUGCAUAGGGGAUGAAAGGAUCAAGAUGCCCAAGAGGGGGGUGAAUUGGGCUUCUCUAAAAUUUAAGCAACCUAUAAGCUCCAAUUCAACCCCUUGUGCCUAGUGUGAUCUAGAGAGCUACCGGAUAAAUAGUUUUGCAACCUAGUUCCAAUCUUAUUCUAGCAUGGCAAUUCUAGGAAUGUAAAUGCUCAAAGUAAAUGCUAGAAAGUAAAGGAGUAUAGCAAGAGGAACGCGGCGAUGUUUUGUCGAGGUAUCAGAGAGUCGCCACUCCUCACUAGUCCUCGUUGGAGCACCCGUGCAAGGGUCUUGCUCCCCCUUGGUCUGUGCAAGGACCAAGUGCUCUCUAUGGGUAGAUUCUUUGACACUCCGUCGCGGUGAAUCGCCCAAAACCGCUCACAAGCUUUACACGAUCCACCCACAAAAACUCCGGGCGGUCUUCGUACCUCCAAUCACCACCAAACCGUCUAGGUGAUGGCGAUCACCAAGAGUAACAAGCAAUGAAAUCUCACUUCACCCAAUUAAGGCACUAGAGGGUGGUGGAUGCACACUUGACUCUUGGAACUCAACUGGAUGAGGUGGAGGAGUAUAAAUAUCUCACUUCACUUAAGAAAUAUCUCAAUCCUCUCUAGGCUCUUGCUUCUCUCUUGCACUACAAGGUGAUUCUCAACUGAUCAAAUGGGCAAGAGAGCUCCCAUGGAUGAGGUGGAGGAGUAUAAAUACUCCCCAUCAAGUCCAAGGGCCGGCCAACCAUUUUACACUGAAAACGGGAGCCCCAGACGCUUGUAAUGUUGCACCGAACGCACUGCAUCGAGCGUCCGGUGACACAUUAAUGGCUAACUGUACUCUCUCUGACAGAGAACCGAACGCACCCUCAGUGGGUCUGGUGGCAUCAUCCGGUGUGAGGGGAAAUUUACACCCUCCCUGGGUAUGGGACCGGACGCUCCCCGGCGAGUCUGGUGCUAGCGUCCGGUGUCCUGGUCUACUACAGACCGCCCUGGGUAUGGGAUCGGACGCUCCCCGAUGAGUCCGAUGCGAGUGUCUGGUGCCUAACCCUAGGCACCCAGUCACUCUGUCUGAAGUCAGCCUCACCGGACGCACUCACAAAGCAUCCGGUGCAGCGUUUGAUGCCUGCUUAGGCACCCAAACUUUGUUGAAAUUCUAUAUUUCCAAAACAAAGUUUGUUCCUCUCGAUCUAAGGACUUUCUCAGAGCUUCCUAGUGCUAGGUUUACCAAGUGUGCACCACACCUAAACCUAAAGCCUUGCCUAGGUCAAGCUACCCAUUCAAUGCCCCUCUUAAUAGUAUGGUCAAAGGAAAACAAAGUCCUACUCUAAGUGCCCUUCUUCACCAUAUGGCACUUAGACCUAGUCUAGUCCCGACGACAUCCAACAAUCCUUUGAAAACCGAAAUGAUUUCCACCAUUAAGUCGGUAUGAAUGAUCUAGGCCAUCGAUCACCAUUAACAUGACCUAACUCAAAUUACUUUGCCUCUGCAAAACACAUGUUAGUUAUAGUAAUCAACAUUGUCAUUAAUCAUCGAAACUCAUUUGGGGCCUAGAUGCUUUUUAGGGGAGCAGGACUGAGGCUGGUGCCAUGAGUGCCGGAUUGAAGGAGGCCUUUGUAAGCAUGGAUUCCAGGCCACCCCUUGCUGGCAUUAAGGUCUAGCAACUCCAUCCUCAGACAGUGAGGGUUGAGGCUGCUCGAAGAUAGGAAAUGGUGCGCCGAGUUGGGGAAGAUCUCAUCACCACCAAUUGAGGAUAAGGGAUUUAGAUGCUGUUGAUGGUAGUUAACUCCUAUUUUUAACUAUCAACAUAACUUUUAUAACUGCAAAGAGAUGCUCACCAACAUAGGUUUAGCGAUUUGAACUAACAAAUUCCACGAGUUUUGGUGCAUCUAUGUUUUAUAGGGUUACACAGGAAAAGAGCUAAAGGCAAACUAAUCAUUGAUUAAAAGUACCUCAAAUGAUGAAGUGGGCUGCACCAUUACAACAGGCUCGUCGAGGCGAUCAAAAUAGACAUAUCAAUUGCUAUAUUUGGAGUCCGAAGUGAAAAGAUAUUAAUUUUAUAAAUAAAGGAGAAUUACCACUAAUGGGCCCGACGCCCAAGUAAGGCCCAUGACGUGAGAAGAGGCUCAUAUGGCAUGAUAGAGGCCCAAGAGAGGCGCCCCAAGCUACUCCUUUGAGUGGGCUCACAUGAGGGAUAAUUGGAAGGCCCAAGUUGAUGUAUAAUAGCCCAACAUAGCAAACGGUGGAAGAAUUAGUCCCACAUCGUCGCAUGUCCAAAAGAGGUGAGAGGCUUUUCUAGGCUAUAAAUAAAGAGGUAGACCCUCAUAUUUGGGGGCACCACAUUAUUAUGGAGAUGUAGAGGCGUCCCUCCAAUGGAUGACCUCUCACCUCUAGAGAAUUAGGGCUAGACAUUUCAAUGUAGUAAAUUAGUUCUAGUUGAGAGUUAGGGAGAGCGAUGCCACACCUGGGUUCCGGAGGAGUCUUCAAAGGAGUCAUCAGAGUUCUGGUAUAUCUUUGUAUCUAUUCUUGUAAGACUUAUGCUUUAAUAUAUUUCAUCUUCUCUAUUUACUUUUCUGCAUUACAUUUGAUUGGUUAGUAUAGUUGUUACACUUUAGCAUAGGAUCUCCGCUCGUAUUGAGUGCUCUAGUUAUUACGUGUGACUAGAGUAGUAAUUCGUAGUAUAGACAUGGCGUCUAGACUAUUGGUUACCUGAGGUUACACCCAAUCCAACAUAUAGUUGUGGUAGCCCUACGUGGUGACAGCCCUGAUGGCCGACGUAUUCCACCAUGUUAGGGUUGGUGCUUGUAGGACCGUAGUCGGAGCUUCCUAGUCCUUUCACACAUGUUUCUGUGACUAGUGUUCUGAUGUCCCAAAGUGUUAUUGUAUGAUUGCUUUACCUUCCAUAAAUUAGUUAUCAUAAAACCCCAGUAAUAGACAAGUAUUUAGGAACCUUGCGCUCUCUCGUUGUCCUCUCACUUAGCUAUUUACCCUUUUAUCAUAGAAUUCUGCAGUGUGUGUCAUAUAUGCAUAAUUCCUAUCAUCUAUUAUUUACCCCUAAUUUAGUCUAGUCGGUGUAUUAGUUAGUAGAUACAUGAUGUUGAACUAUCAAUAUCUUUAUCCAUUGUUUCCUAGUGGUAAAAUAUAAAUAAUGAUACUUGGAAUACUUUCAGUAAAAUGCUACAAUGGUUUUCUGUGCGCUUGCGGAAUUCUUCAUAUUUUAAUUGUGCAUAAGAAAUAUCAACAAGCAUUUUUGUCGUCGUUGCCAGGGAAGCAAUUGAUGUAAAGAUUCUAAUAAUGAUCUUGAUGUCUGCUAAUUUAGUGUACCAUGUUGACGGUUCUUAAGUAUCAAUUUUAAUUAUCAAAUAAACAAGAGAAAGGACCAAUAUGCAACCAACACCUAGAAUUAGGGUUUGAUCUGACAAGAAUUCCACGAGUUUUGUUGUUUAUCUGUUUCUGCAGGGAGUUAUCAGGAAAUAAGAAAGAAAGGCCCACAUGUCGGGAUUACAUAGAGAUAUCAACGCACCGCGCAAUUUUCUACCAUCUAGAAGACUCCAGAAGCCACGGGAAGAAGACGGAGGCCGAAAGGGGCCAGGCCUAGGGCGCCCGCCCUGGUGACCUGGGCGCCCGCCCCCUGCUGGAUCCAGUUCGGGACUCUCUUCGCACGGGAUAUUCCACCGACCUAUUAGAUCAAGAAAAACAUAGUACCACCUCGUCUACCGACCCAAAAAUGCAUAGAGGAGGAGGACUAUAUAAGGAGACCCCCCUGGCCCCUGGAGAAGACAUGAAGAAAUUAUCAUAGAGACUGAGGGGUGCCCUCGAAGGAAAACUUCUUCUCUAAUUAAUAUUUCUUUUUAGGCUUAGCAACCAAUGUAAGGUAGAAAUAGAUCUUCUAGUUUCUACUAGAUUGAGAGAGAUAGAGUGGAGGUGUAGAUUGGAGGAAGCCCGGCCUGUCGGUGUCUACUCCAAGCUUGUACCUGCGGGAUCAAGUUCUCCUAACCCGAAGCUUGCUCCUAGGAUUCUUCAGUAUUUCGACUUCUAAAUUCUAGUAAGUUCUUGUUUUAUUGUUCUUAUGGUUUAUGAGUUUACUUUAAUCUCUUCGCGUAGAGUUUAGAGUAAUCAUUGCUGGCGUAAACGUGGUGUUUAGGCUGGGGUACUCAUAGAUAUUUCCUGACUAGCUGGACCGUGGUAGUAGUGAGGAACGUGACAAUUCCGAGUUACCUUUGCAGAUCACAUCUCGUUAGCAGGAAGGAUAGGGUUUAUAGGUGCGGGUUGAACAUCCUUUGUGGUGUCUAGAUUCCGUUAGCCUCCCCAAUAGAACAAUAGAUCAUCCUUACCAAGGUUAGAAGGAGACUACGGUUGCAGUCUUCUCUAUUUAUCACUCACAUCGAAAGACAUUCUUUGUGCCUAAAAGGUUAGUAGUAAUAGACCGGUUAGUCAGAUGCACUCUUUCUCCUAGUAGUAAAAAAAUAAAUACGAUACUCUAGAUAAUUUCCCGGGUGAAGUGCUCACCGAUAUCCGUGCGCUUACGGAUCAAUUCCUUAUUGCGUUCCCAAAUUUCAACAAGCAUGUCUGGCGCCGUUGCCGGGGAGAAAGACGGUUGCUGAGAUAACCUGAGUCUUACUACUAGCUUGUAUCUAUACGUUUAUCUUUUCUUAUCUUUUAUAUUCUUUAUUUAUUUUCUUUACUCUUACCUUAUGGAAAACCAAAAUUCUAAAUCGAUCCUUGAAUCUGCAAUCCCUUUAGCAACUGACCUUUUACCAUAGGAGUCAUCACAGCCUAUCCAAACAUCCCAGUAUAAGUUAAGUUCUAGGUUGAUUGCCAUGAUUCAAAACCUACCUUUUUCGGGAAAGGAAGACGAAAACCCUUACCUUCAUAUUAGAGAUUUUGAGCAAACAUGUGAUUGUCUUCACAUUAAAGGCAUUUCUGAUAAAACUUUACGUUGGAAGCUUUUUCCUUUUUCCUUAAGGGGAGAAGCUAGACAAUGGUACAGUCAGAAGGUAAGUCAACAACAAGGUGAAUGGGGAGUUUUACGAGCCAACUUUUGUCUAGAUUUCUAUUCCCUUGACCGUAUAGCCGACCUUAGACUCGAAGUCCUAUCUUUUAAACAAAAAGAUAAUGAAACUUUGGGAAAAUCCUGGAAACAUUUUUCUGAUAUUUUAGAAUCUGGUCCAAACCUUAAUCUUGAAGACCCUGUUCUUUUAUUCCACUUUUUUCGAGGUCUUCAGAAAAAUCACAAACAAAUGCUACACACAAUGUCUAGAGGUUCUUUCUUUCGAAUCCCUACUGAUGAAGCUAGAGUGAUCCUAGAUAGAAUCCUAGAAGCUGAGAUGGAUAAUACCCUUCAUGAUGAAACCUACGAAGCCGAAGUAAACACUCUGCCAAAUUCUUCAUCUACUUUAGCUAUCCCAAGUUCUGAGCCACAAGAGGAAGAAAUUCCACCACCGGACUUCAUGCAGGAUAUAGAAUCCGAUCUUUUUGCCGAUUUUGGAAAUAUUUCAAACUACCAUUCUAUUGACAAACCCCAAAUCGGCCAGUUUAGCAUUUAUUUGCCAAGUGAAUAUCAAUUGAGAGAGCUUAUCUCAGUAAUGAGUAGCGAAUGGUUGGAGGAAUCAGAGCUUUCCUCUGAUGUGAUCCGUUUGGACACACCCUCUAUAACUAUACGCUGUGCUUAUAAUUCUGAUCGAUUUAAUGCUCUUUAUAAUCCUGUUGUGGGGAUAAAUAUCAUGUCCGAAUCUUUUGCACUUAAACUAUUUAAAAAUCUUGUCUUAACCCCCACAACAAAGGUCAUAAAGGAAUCUUCGGGACGAUUAGUCCCCAGUCUUGGAAUUAUUAAUGUCCUACCUCUUACGGUAGAAGGCUCCAUGGUUCAUUUGAACUUCUAUAUCUUUGAUACAUGGGACUUCGACCUGUUGAUAGGACAACCUUUUAGAAGACUCCUUUAUGAAGGUCAUACUGGAAAGCUACACAUUUCUUUUGGAAAAACCUUUAAAAUCCCAAUAACAAUUUCACACUCCUUAAACAAUAAGGCCGAGUCAUAUGUUUUUCCUGAUCCUAUGGAGGAGGUAAAGGCUGCAUCUCUAGAGCUUUUAGAUGAACCAGACUUAGAAGAUGAAACUCCUUUCUUCACAGAAGAAGACGAACCUUCUGAGCCUGAACCCUUAGAUGAGUUUGCAGAAACACCUAGACCCCCCAUAGAGCUUAAAACUUUACCACCCGGUUUUACCUAUGAUUUCCUAAACAAUAAUCCAGAGUUCCGUGUAAUCAUUAGUGAUAAACUCACUCAGGAUCAAACUCUGCGAUUAAUGACCAUUCUUGAGAAACAUCACUCAGUUUUCGGCUACUCACUCCAAGAUCUUACAGGAAUCAGUCCUAUGAUUUGUACCCAUCGUAUUCCAACAGAUCCUUCUGUUUCACCCUCUCAAGAACCCCAACAUAGACUUAAUAACACUAUGAGAGAGGUAGUUAAAAAGGAAGUUAUAAAGUUGCUGCAUGCAAGGAUUAUAUAUCCUGUGCCGCACAGUGAGUGGGUGAGCCCAGUUCAAGUUGUGCCUAAAAAAGGAGGCAUGACUGUUAUUAUGAAUGAAAAGAACGAGCUAAUUUCGCAACGCACCGUCACAGGAUGGCGGAUGUGCAUAGACUAUAGAAAACUAAACAAAGCCACGAGAAAAGAUCACUUUCCUUUACCUUUUAUAGAUGAGAUGCUAGAGCGGUUAGCAAACCAUUCGUUCUUCUAUUUCUUAGAUGGAUAUUCAGGGUAUCAUCAGAUCCCGAUCCAUCCCGAUGAUCAAAGCAAAACCACUUUUACAUGCCCAUAUGGAACCUAUGCUUACCGUAGAAUGUCUUUUGGGUUAUGUAAUGCACCAGCUUCUUUUCAAAGAAGCAUGAUGUCUAUAUUUUCUGAUAUGAUUGAAGAGACUAUGGAAGUUUUCAUGGAUGAUUUCUCUGUUUAUGGAAAAACUUUUGAUAGUUGUCUUGAAAACUUAGACAAGGUUUUGCAAAGAUGUGAAGAAAAGCACUUAAUCCUUAAUUGGGAAAAAUGUCAUUUUAUGGUUAGGGAAGGAAUAGUGCUGGGACACCUAGUGUCUGAAAGAGGUAUUGAGGUAGACAAAGCUAAAAUUGAAGUAAUUGAACAACUACCUCCACCUGUGAACAUAAAAGGAAUUCGAAGCUUUCUUGGCCAUGCUGGUUUUUAUCGUAGAUUCAUAAAAGAUUUUUCAUUUAUUGCUAGACCACUUACUCUUUUACUAGCCAAGGAUGCUCCUUUCGAAUUUGAUGAUGCAUGUUUAACAUCUUUCAAUUUAUUAAAGAAAGCACUCAUCUCUGCACCAAUCAUUCAACCCCCUGAUUGGUCGUUGCCUUUUGAAAUUAUGUGUGAUGCUAGUGAUUAUGCUGUGGGGGCAGUUUUGGGACAAACUAAAAAUAAGAAGCAUCAUGCAAUUGCUUACUCAGGAGAUGUGUGACCACUGAGGAAGGAUGGAAGAUCAUCGACAGAUGUCAUUCAUCACCAUAUGGAGGUCACUAUGGAGCAUUCCGUACACAUUCAAAGAUCUGGCAGUGUGGAUUCUACUGGCCUACAAUGUAUGAAGACACGAAGCAAUAUAUCAGAAGAUGUGGGCCAUGUCAAAGACACGGAAACAUAAAUACAAGGGAUGCAAUGCCACUCACCAACAACCUUCAGAUUGAGCUCUUUGAUGUCUGGGGAAUAGACUACAUGGGUCCAUUUCCUCCAUCAAAGAAGUGCGAGUACAUCUUAGUGGCGGUUGACUAUGUCUCCAAGUGUGUAGGAGCAUUACCUUGCAAGCAUGCCGACAACGUCAGUUCAAAGAGGAUGUUUGAAGAAAUUAUAUUCCCAAGAUUUGGAGUCCCCAGAGUAGUGAUAAGUGAUGGAGGAGCACACUUCAUCGACAAACGCUUCAAGCAAUAUCUAUCAAAACAUGGAAUCCGUCACAACGUCGCUACCCCUUAUCAUCCUCAGACAAGUGGCCAAGCAGAGACUUCCAACAAACAAAUCAAGAAUAUUCUUCAGAAGACAGUAAAUGAAAUGGGAACGGCGUGGAAAGACAAGUUACCCGAUGCACUCUGGGCAUACCGGACAGCAUACAAGACCCCAAUCGGAAUGUCUCCAUACCAAUUGGUGUACGGGAAGACUUGUCAUCUACCUGUUGAACUAGAGUUCAAAGCACACUGGGCCAUAAAGAAAUGGAAUAUGGACCUAGAUGUUGCUGGAGAUUAUAGAAGAAUGCAACUAUCAGAAUUGAAAGAAUGGCGAGAGAAGGCAUAUCACAAUUCAAAGAUCUACAAAGAAAGAGUCAAAAGGUGGCAUGACAAGAGAAUCAAGAAGGAGUUCACACCCGGAGAUAAGGUAUUACUUUUUAAUUCUAGGGUGAAGCUUUUCGGGCAUGGAAAACUCUGGAGCAAAUGGGAAGGACCAUUCAAGGUAAUUAAUUCAUCAUCCCAUGGAGCUAUCACACUUCAAAAUAGCGAAGGUACGUUAUUCAAGGUAAAUGGUUAACGUCUUAAAUUAUUUUUAGAGCCCAAUGAAGAACUUGAAGAAAUAGACGUAAUCCAUUUUUACCUUCGCAUGGAGAAUUAGAGCCCGACCUUUUUAGUCUGAUGAUUUUGAGUCAUAUAUAUAUUUUUCUAAAUAGUUUUGCAUCUAGAAACGCGCUCGAGAAAGUGAGCCCACAGAGGGGCCAGAGAGAGGGCGGGCGCCCAGCUCAGGUGGGCGGGCGCCUAGCUCCUGUUCCCCUCGGCCCCGAUUUUCUCUAUUAUGGAAAAUGCACUUAUGGUAAUCCGAAUAAUCCCUCGGAUGGAAAGUUUCGCACGCACAUCGACGGGAGCAACCCGAACAACCCAUAGAGGCACUUUUUGACCCCUAUAUAAACAGACCCCUGACCUCAAUUUUCAAACACCAAGCCACCAAGCCUUCUCUCAAUUAGAGCUUGAUUAGUUCCUUGCUGCUCCAAUGGCCGAGAAGUACCACGAUGAUUGGGAAGUCGUCCCCUUCAACUUCAACGUGGAGCCUGUGGAAGACCCCGAUGCCCGUGCUCUCGUCCCGGCGAACACAGAGCGACAGCUAGAAGCCAUGCCAUUACGCCAACGCAACUCCGCCCAAUCCUACCAUGCUCAACCAGUUCUUACCGCACCGCCACAACCCCUACUCCUCAAAGGAUCAUCAUCCAAGACGUGGACCACUAUCAAGGUGCCAACCGGCACAAGGAUCCUUCCAUCUAGACCCAAUGAGAGGGUCGUUGGAGUCAAGACCAACCGGAGCGGCGAGAUCAGCAGCGUACGCUACACUACGGAGGAGGAAAGGCCUUACUUUGAAGGGAUUCGAGCAGCCAAAGUCCGUUUCAUUCCUCCAAAGGCAGGCCCGAAGCACGCUCUCAAUGUUUUUGAGACACCUCCCAAGCGUCGCAAGACUAUAGUAGACAUUGAUGAGGACGUUCGCAGAUUAGACAGAGUUAUCAUAGAUCUCCAGUCCUCGAUUAAUUCCCUCACUAGGCAGCUCUCUAACCACAACACUAUUAUACUAGGCCUUAGGCAGGAUCUUGCCAGCGCCAACAAGAAGAUUAAGGAAUUAGAGCGCCGCUAAGUUAUCUAGAUUAAACCUUGAGGCAAUGCAUCUUAGUUAUCUAUCUUUAAAUUCGGUUUAGGUUUACUAUUAUCAUCAGUUUGCUAUCGUCAGUUUGCUACUAGUCUUUUGUAAUAAAUGCCUCAAGAUUAAUAAAGAGUACUAUUAUUAUUAUGUCUUGUGUGUCUUCAUUUUAUUUUUUGUGCAAGAAAGUAGAAAACAAGUAUGGGGGAGAUCCCUCGACACGCUAAACACACUCCGACUACACCACUCCACGAUUCAGGUGACCACUCUGCACACUUUACUUUACACAUACAAAUAUCUUGAUUAUGCAGAUUACUGUUUCCAACAUGAUAAAAAAAAUUAAAAUAUUUCUAAUCAUGAUUAAUCUCAAUCUGCUAUAUUUCCUGAAACUUGCAAUUAUUGAAAAUCAUUUUAAAACCCUGUGUUACUUAAGUCAUUAUGGAAUAUGUGAUGGUAGAGUAUGAGUUUCUUAUUCUUGAUAUCAUUGUUGCUUGGAGAAUUUAUUUCAAAAUAUUCAAAAUUCUAGCUACCAUCCUCAGUGUUUUAUAUGCCUGAUAAAACUGAAAAUAUUAAUUAUAAUUAUAAAAGCUAUCUACUCUGUAUUGAGUUUGUUCAAAAUGAGUUAGACCCUUGUUGAGAGAUUUAUCAUGCUCCUAAGAUCAAGACAUUUAUUCAGAAAGAUUCACUCUUCCGAAGUAUUAUUGCAUUAGAGGCAUGGGCUAUGCAAAAAUAGAGAUAUUUCGAGGAAAUAAAAAGAAGCAAGUGCUCGACAACCUCGCAGAAAAAAUGGACAAGUGUGCGGCAGUAGAAUUAGGGGUACCUCGGUAUCCACUUAUGUCGAGGGUAUCAGUAAGGGGUACCCUCAGCGAUGCGCAUUACGAGAUUGCCCGUACGCAGGUCGAGACCCUCAAUUCGACGCUCUAAUCUUACGUAUGCGCCGCCAUCGACGGCCGCAACCUCGAAGACGGAAAUAGCGUCGAGCGAAUCGAUCAGGCGUCGAGCGCCGGCUGCCGUCGAAUACGGAAGCGGGCUCGAGCGAACCGAGAGGCGUCGAGCGCAAGGACACUGUCCGCCGCCUGACGCGCGCACGCGGGUCGGGGCAUUUAAUGCACCUGACGCUUCCCCACCUAACACAUGGGCCACGGGAGGCUUCCGUCCCAUCGUUCUUUUUGCAGCCUUCCCACCGAACGGCCCAGGGCGUGCCAGGACACGGGAAACAAGGAUGGAACGUCUAAUCGGGACCCCCUCGAGGCCUCCAAGGUCAGCGCUCCAGAUAUCAGCAUAUUACACGGCGUCCGACCCUCGACCGAACAGGGUCCCUUCCUAGGGACAAGUUGGGCGUCGACUGACAACACCACAACUACCCCGCCGGAUCUGCCGCCAUACCGUACAGGCGUGCGACCUCAAAACCAGCGCGAGGCGGCGGGCAGGGCAGAAUGCAGGAGCACGCGUAAUCAUCACCGAGCUAUCAAGAUGGGACGGCUCGAGGCCAUGUCGUACGGAAGCCUCGAGUAGGUCAGCGUUCCAUGCGGCUAUCGACCCCUACUCUAACAUCUACGCAUGUACCCUAGUCUCUCCUUGGAACUAUAAAAGGAGAGACUCAGGGAUAGAUCAGGGAGAAAACAUAAGAAACCACACUCAUACGUAGUAGAGCUCCACACUUCAGACCACGCUUGUAUUCGCCCCUGUACAAGCACUUAGGUGCAAGAUAAUACAAACUCUCUCCCCCCGCUGGACGUAGGGCCUUCUCUUGCCCGAACCAGGAUAAAUCUUUGUGUCUUCUUGCAUCACCAUCCGGAAAAGGGAGCACGCAUACAAAUUUACUCGUUGGUGUGACCCCCCGGGGGAAAAACACCGACAGUUGGCGCGCCAGGUAGGGGUCCUGCGUGUUUUUCAUCGAUUUCCCACUCCUUUCCGGAUGGCUACUCUUGCCUCGCCGUUUCCGCGCUCCACGGUGAUUUGGUUUGGAAGUCUCGAGUUCAUGUCUACGGGCUCCGGCUACGACAUGAUCUUGCUCUCAGUCAAAGGACCAGGAGGAGCCCGCGUUACGCCAGCACGGUUGAAGGCCCCGAGACGCCCUCAUCACCACGCCUCCCCGCCUAAGAAGAGGCACGGACAGCACCACCGCGGCCCCUCUGCUUCAGCACGACCAGCAACUCGUGCGAGGCAGGACGUGGGCCACAAGUCGGCAGCACCGUGUGACGGAGCAACAAGCGCGACGACUCAGCACCGCGCAACGACGGGAGGGGACGCGCCUCGCGCGUUCUCCCCCACCGCAGCUAGGCUACUUCCACACGGGUCGUUCUCUCCAAGAGCGGCACUGCCGUUCGGAUUGGACAACGUCGCGGCGUCGCUCGCCAGGGCGAUAUGCCCAAAUGCCCAGACAUACGUAGAAAGACCAAUGGUCCUCCCACGUAGCUCUGAAGCGCGGCGGCCGGCGUCCGAGCUGCCGGACCUUUCCCGAGUACGAGGCCUCCGUCGUCUAGGCCCCGGACGAUACUCGAUCACCUCCCUCAGGCAACGAUUGCUGGAGGAAGGACGUGGGUGUUUCUACGCCGCCGAACCGGACUCCGACUCCGAGACAGAUAGCUAUGACCCUACAAGGGAAUGCUAUCACAUCGACGGGGCGGUAGAAACUACUGACGAAACACGGGAUGUUGCUGCGGGUGGUCGAGCCCCCGCGGCGCGAGAAGACCCCAGGACGCCUGGGAACGACGGACAGCUCGACCCUCUUCCUCAAGAAGACAGAACCGCGCAGCUCGCGCAGCUGCGGGAGCUCAAGAUGAAGCUCGACGAGGACCGCGAGCGCCUCGUCCUGCUCGAGCAAAUCCUCGAACAAGACCUGCCCUACCCGCCGGGCGGAAGUGUCCGCAGACGCGCUCGAGAGGUACAUCGACAGAUCGUCGGCAACGCAGAGGCGGAGCAACCUGUCAGCCGUUUCCCUCGAGCAGGCCAGAAUGUAGUGGCAGUGACGAUGCUGCUACGUAACAUGCCAGAGCCGUCGAAUUCCCAGGCCCGACGCAUUCGAGAUGAAGUACAGACAUUGCUCCAGGUGGCAGCGGUUCAACAAGCUGAAAGUUCGGCGUCUCGACGACGAGGAGCUGCCACAGAGAAGCGCGACGAACAGCCUCUAAACGAAGAGGAGGUGUCAGUCCAUCAACAACCUCCCCCUCGAGGUAGAAAGACCGCCCUCAUCCUCCCUGCCGACAAUCAACGUCGACACGACGCGCGGCACGACAUCAAAGAAAAUAGACGCCGCCGGCACGGAGACGCGGAAGAGCGCGGUUAUAGCGCGCAUCGCGGCGGGAGAUACGACAGCGACGAGGACCGGAUGGCCCCCGAGCCACCAGGCCCACGGGUGUUCAGCAGGGCGAUCCGCAGCACGCCCCUGCCCAAUCCGUUUCGACCCCCGACCAGCAUCGCGAAGUACAACGGAGAGACCAAGCCAGAGUUAUGGCUGGCCGACUUCAGACUCGCCUGUCAGCUAGGUGGCGCUCGAGGCGAUGAUCGAGCCAUCAUCAGACAGCUACCUCUUUUCCUCUCCGACACCGCCCGUCGAUGGCUCGAAGAACUCCCUGCCAAUCAGAUCCACAACUGGGUCGAUCUGGUCAGAGUCUUCGAGGGUAACUUCAAGGGGACCUACAUACGGCCAGGGAACUCGUGGGACCUCCGCAAAUGCAAGCAGAAGUCAGGAGAAACUCUUCGGGAGUACGCUCGACGCUUCUCGAAGCAGCGCACUGAGCUGCCGCACAUCCCUGACCACGACGUCAUCUUGGCGUUUGUCUCGGGCACCACCAGUCGAGACUUGGUGCGAGAAUUAGGUCGCGAUCGACCUCAGACCGUCGACGAGCUGAUGGACGUAGUAGCAAACUACGCGGCAGGGGAGGAGGCAGUCGGCGCCUUCUUCAGCUCAGAAGGAAGAAAAGGCAAGGAGCCCAUCGACGAAGAUGGAACCUCCAGUCGAGGCCUCAAGAAAAACAAAAAGAAGCAGAAAGAAGGUUCCGAUGACAACCUUGUCGCCGCCGUGGAUCGAAAGAAGCCUCGAGGCCCUCCGAAUGGAGGCAUCUUCGACAAGAUGUUGGAGGAGCCGUGCCCUUACCAUAAGGGAGGCGCCAACCACAAGCUCAAGGACUGCCGUAUGCUGAGAAGGCAUUUCGACGGUCCGGGGUUCAAAAAAGAUACGCGUGAUGACUCCAAGAAAGAGAAGGCUGGCGGCAAGGAGGACAACAAAGAUGAUGACGGCUUCCCCGCCGUCCACGACUGCUACAUGAUCUACGGCGGGCCCUCGACUCAAUUGACCACGAGGCAGCGCAAAAGGGAGCGUCGCGAAGUCUUUGCAGCAAGAAUGGCGGUGCCCCAAUACCUUAGCUGGUCAAGCACUCCUAUCACUUUCAACCGAGAGGACCACCCCGACAAGGUAGUCGCCCCGGGCGUCUACCCGCUUGUCGUCGACCCCAUCAUCAUCAACACCCGACUCUCGAAAGUGCUCAUGGAUGGUGGCAGCAGCCUCAACAUCAUCUACCUCGAGACCCUCGACCUCCUCGGCAUCGAUAGAGGACGCCUCCAGCCGAGCGCCGGCGGUUUCCACGGCGUCGUGCCUGGGAAAAAGGCACUGCCAGUAGGUCGAAUUGACCUACCGGUCUGCUUCGGCACGGCGGCCAACUUCAGGAAGGAGACCCUCACCUUUGAGGUGGUUGGUUUCCGAGGGACGUACCACGCCAUCAUCGGGCGCCCGGGCAACGCCAAGUUCAUGGCUAUACCCAACUACACCUACUUGAAGCUGAAGAUGCCCGGUCCCAAAGGAGUCAUCACUGUCAGUUCCUCCUUCGAGCAUGCCUACGAGUGCGAUGUCGAGUGCGUCGAGUACGGGGAGGCGGUCGAGAACUCCACCGAGCUCGUCGCGAAGCUCGAGGCCCUGGCCGCUGAGGCUCCAGAGCCUAAGCGCCACGCGGGCAGCUUCGAGGCGGCGGAAGGAACCAAGAAGAUCCCGCUCGACCCCAACAACUCCGACGGCAAAGUGCUCACGAUCAGCACCGACCUCGACCCCAAAUAGGAAGCCGUGCUCGUCGACUUUCUCCGUGCAAAUGCCAACAUGUUUGCAUGGAGUCCCUCGGACAUGCCAGGCAUACCGAGGGAAGUCGCCGAGCACUCCUUGGAGAUUCGAGCCGGUUCCAAGCCAGUGAAGCAGCGGUUGCGCCGAUUCAACGAGGAGAAGCGCAAUAUCAUUGGCGAGGAAGUCCACAAGCUUUUGACGGCCGGAUUCAUCAAGGAGGUUCAUCAUCCCGACUGGUUAGCGAACCCUGUAUUAGUUAAGAAAAAGAAUGGGAAAAUGAGGAUGUGUGUCGAUUAUACUAGUCUGAAUAAAGCAUGUCCAAAAGUUCCCUUUCCAUUGCCACGCAUUGAUCAGAUUGUCGAUUCUACCGCGGGAUGUGAAACCCUUUCUUUCCUUGAUGCAUAUUCUGGUUACCACCAAAUAAAAAUGAAGGAGUCCGACCAGCUCGCGACCUCUUUCAUCACGCCUUUUGGGAUGUAUUGCUACGUGACCAUGCCAUUUGGGCUUCGAAACGCCGGAGCCACGUAUCAACGUUGCAUGCUCCACGUAUUCGGCAAACAUAUAGGGUCAACGGUCGAGGCCUACGUCGAUGACAUUGUCGUCAAGUCAAAGCGACGAGGUGACCUGAUCCAGGACCUCGAGAUAGCCUUUAGCUGCCUACGCACCAGCCGGAUCAAGCUCAAUCCCGAGAAAUGCGUUUUCGGUGUGCCUCGAGGCAUGCUCCUAGGAUACAUCGUUUCGCAGCGCGGCAUCGAGGCCAACCCCGAAAAAGUCUCGGCCAUCACGAAAAUGGGGCCGAUCCGAGACAUCAAGGGUGUACAGAGAGUCACGGGGUGCUUGGCGGCUCUGAGCCGUUUCAUCUCGAGAUUGGGAGAAAAGGCAUUACCAUUAUAUCGACUCCUAAAGAAGGUCGAGCGCUUCUCUUGGACCCCCGAGGCCGAGGAAGCACUCGGAAGGCUGAAGCAGACGCUGACCUCGACACCAGUCCUGGUCCCACCUCAACCUGCAGAGCCGCUGCUCCUCUACGUCGCGUCGACGACCCAGGUCGUCAGCGCGGCGGUGGUGGUCGAGAGGCAGGAGGAGGGACAUGCGCUACCAGUUCAGAGGCCAGUGUAUUUCGUCAGCGAGGUGCUUUCGGAAACCAAAGCACGUUAUCCCCAAAUCCAGAAGCUGAUUUAUGCUGUAAUCCUUGCCCGUCGCAAGCUGCAGCAUUACUUCCUUGGCCACCCCAUCACGGUGGUCUCGUCUUUUCCUUUAGGAGAAAUAAUCCAGAGCAAAGAAGCCACGGGAAUAAUAGCAAAAUGGUCGGUCGAGCUCAUGAGUGAGACUCUCACUUAUGCGCCUCGCAAGGCCAUCAAAUCGCAGGCCCUGGUAGACUUCAUCGCAGAAUGGACGGACACCCAGCUCCCCCCGACCCAGGUCCAGGCGGAACUAUGGACGAUGUAUUUCGAUGGGUCACUCAUGAAAACUGGAGCCGGAGCCGGCCUGCUGUUCAUCUCACCUUUGGGCAUCCAUAUGAGGUACGUAAUCAGGAUUCAUUUUGCCGCAUCUAACAAUGUCGCAGAAUACGAGGCCCUCGUCAACGGUCUCAAGAUCGCUAUCGAGUUAGGAGUCCGACGCCUCGACGUCCGAGGUGACUCCCAACUCGUCAUCGACCAAGUGAUGAAAACCUCGAGCUGCCACGACCCAAAAAUGGAAGCAUACUGCAAGGAGGUCCGUCGACUCGAGGACAGGUUCCACGGUCUCGAGCUUGUCCAUGUCGCUCGACGCUACAACGAGGCAGCCGAUGAACUCGCCAAGAUCGCAUCCACCAGAGGCACAGUGCCGCCUGAUGCAUUCUCAAAGGAUCUUCACGAGCCAUCCGUCGACCUAGGCACGGGGGCUGGCAUCGACGCCACCACCGCCCAACCGACCAAUGCCUUCGAUACGCUCUUGAUGGUGGAGGAGAUGAUGGAGAUAGAACGACGACCAGGUCGACCAUUCGAUUGGCGCACACCGUUCCUCGACUGCCUUAUCCGCGGCGAGUUGCCAGAAGACAGGUCAGAAGCUCGUCGUAUCGCUCGACGGGCUAAAUCAUAUGUGAUAUAUGGCAAAGACAACGAGCUAUAUCGACGGAGCCCGACGGGCGUCUUACAACGUUGCAUCACCGUAGAAGAAGGCCGAAAACUCCUCGAUGACCUGCACUCGGGGGCUUGUGGCCACCACGCCGCUCCACGGACCCUCGUAGGGAACGCUUUUCGGCAAGGCUUCUACUGGCCAACGGCCGUGGCGGAUGCCAUCGAGCUUGUACGAUCAUGUCACGGGUGUCAGUUCUACGCCAAACAGACGCAUCUGCCUGCCCACGCUCUUCAGAUGAUCCCCAUCACCUGGCCGUUUGCGGUAUGGGGGCUCGAUUUAGUAGGGCCUCUACAAAAGGCGAAAGGAGGAUACACCCAUUUGCUGGUGGCCAUUGACAAGUUCUCCAAAUGGAUCGAGGCUCGACCCAUCACCAACAUCCGCUCCGAGCAGGCCGUCCUCUUCUUCACCGACAUCAUCCAUCGGUUUGGGAUCCCUAAUGUCAUCAUCACCGACAACGGCACCCAGUUCACCGGCAGAAAGUUCUUGGAUUUCUGCGAUCAGCAUCAUAUCCGUGUGAACUGGUCUGCAGUAGCCCACCCUCGAACUAACGGCCAGGUCGAGCAUGCCAACGGCAUGAUUUUGCAAGGACUCAAGCCAAGGAUCUACAAUCGAUUGAAGAAGUUCGGCAAGAAAUGGGUCGAGGAGCUUUCCUCAGUCCUAUGGAGCCUUAGGACAACGCCAAGCAGGGCCACAAAAUACACCCCGUUCUUCAUGGUCUACGGCUCUGAGGCUAUCCUCCCCACAGACCUCGAGUAUGGGUCACCUCGACUCAAGGCUUACAACGAGCAAUCGAACAAAGAAACUCAAGAAAACGCGGUCGACCAACUCGAGGAGGCUCGAGACAUGGCCCUCCUCAAUUCUGCCAGAUAUCAGCAGAAACUCCGACACUACCACGACAAGCACGUGCGCAAGAGGGACCUCAACGUAGGCGACCUUGUCCUACGACGCCGGCAAAGCAAUCAAGGACGCCACAAGCUGACUCCACCUUGGGAAGGCCCAUAUGUGGUGGCCGAGGUCCUUAAGCCAGGAACGUACAAAUUAGCGGACGAAAAGGGGGCAAUCUUCACCAACGCAUGGAACAUCGAACAGCUACGUCGAUUCUACCCCUAGAAGUCCUAAACUUACGUUCCUACAUUUUGUACGAAGGCUUUGUAAAUAAACACGUGAAUAAAUAAAGUCUUUCCCUCGAGCGACUUCUUUUUGUGCCAAAAAUAGUUACGAAUCUUAGUCUCGACGUUAAAAGGGGAUGCCGACCAUGACCAAUCAUAGUCCGCACCCCCUCGGGGGCUACCAGGGGGACGACCCCCCCCCCAAGUGUCGAAAAAGCCAAGAAAUUUUCUUUUCUUACUUAGUAAACCUUGCAUGGUUCGAGUAGCUAAGGCGCCUCGAGCCCCUCAAAGGCCGAGGGAUAACGAGCCGGAGAACUCCCACGCCCCCGGGCUACGGAAACUCUACUCACUUCCUCACCUUUGAGGUAAUCGAGGUUGUUUUUGACGAAAGAUCGAGCAAGGGAUACAAACGUAGGAACAAAGAGAAACAAAAGAACCUCGAACGGAAAGACAAAUAAGCAUUUAACAAUCACAAAAAGAUACUGUAUCACCUAACAGCAGAAUUAAUAAAGUAUCAUACAAGGGGCCCCAGGCGCCCUGAGCAGGCUCGCAGGCCUCAGUCCGCGGUACGAUCCUCACCGCCCUCGCCUCCGCCCGAGCUAGCCUCGGGAGGGAGCACCUCAGGCUCGAAGAGCUUGGCCAACCUUUCCCCAGGAGCCUCCGCGUCGUCGAUCAAGGCAUGAAGCCUCUCCUCGUUCUCCGCGUCGGUCUUGGAGAUGUCGGUGACGAAGCCAUGGGACACCACCUCCAUGUCGUAGGAGAAGCCCGAGCAGACAACCGCCAUCGCCCGCUUCACCCCGAUGUGGAGGGCGUCCCGCACCCGAUCUCGCAGCGUCGCGCCUAUGUAGCACAACUGAUCGAUCAGGGCGUCGCCACGAGCGUCCUCCCUCAACUCAUCCAUAGGCUCGAUCUCCCAAGAGGUCGAGAGAUCGCUUAUCGCCGUCCGCACUCGACGGUUCAAAGCAACCUCAGCCUCGAGCUGAGCCUUGGCGUUGCGAGCCUCGGCUUGGGCGGCCAGGAGUUCGUCCUUGAGCCCUGUAAAUGCCAAUACAAAGAAGCUUUAGGAAAAACUCAAGCACACCUCGAAAAGGAAAUUCGACAAAGGAAACAUACCUUUGAUGCUCUCCUCUAGGGCCGUGUUCUCGCCGACCAAUCUGGUGUUGGCACGCUCGAUCUCUCUGUUGGAGCGCGCCAGCUCAGUAUUGGCGACGCGGAGAUCUUCGAUCACCCUGCCAGCCUGAGCGACGGCUCCACUCUUCUCCAGCAAUUCUCCCUUCAGACGCUCGACGUCGUCAGAGAGACUGCGGGAUCGAGCUCGCUCCAUCUCGAGGUCUUCGAGGGCCUUCUUCUUUGUGUCCUCGGCGGCACCCCUGGCGACCUCAUUGUCCACGCACGCCACUUUCAUCUUUUGGAAGGAAUCGCGGAGGGAGUCCAGGUCGGUUUGGAGAAGGCCCUUCUCCUUGUCCAGGUCCGCAAUGACGCUCUUGUAGGACAGGGCCUCCUCCCGGGCUCUGGACGCGGCCUCCUCGACCGUAAGAGCCCGCUCCCGUAGCUGCAUCGCCUCCUCCUCCGCCUUCUUCGAGACCUCUCGGGCCUCGGCCAAAGCAGCCUCCCUCGCCUUCUUCUCCUCCUCGAGUGCUAUGAGAUCUUUGUAAGCUUUAAGCAGCUUUUCCUGCGACUCGAGGAGUUGAUCCAUGAGGAGGGGAAGCUGCUCCCAUCCGCCCCUCGUGGCAUGUAUGAAGCUGGACUUGAUGCGAGAGGUCUCUUUCAUAUCCUGCGAAUCGGGGGUCGGAUGGAUUAGAAUACAGAAACCAGAAAGCACCAUAAAGAUUGGAGUUCGAGAAACACUUACAAAAUAAGCUGGCCCGAGCCCGUUGUUGAUGACGUCCGAUAGGAGCCCCACCACGUGUUUCAUCCAAAGGCGGAGCUCCUCGACAUGCUCCCACUUCUCGACCUCCUUCUUGUCGUCGAGGAAGAUAUUGGGCUCGGACGGGUCGGUGGAAGCUCGGAUACGAAUCCGAUCGGGACACCAGUUCUCCAUCUCCCGAUCAGCCCGCGCCUUGACGCCGCGGAUAAAGUUCUCGACGGUCUCGAGGGAACCCCCGUGGCGCAAGAACAGGUCGGCGAGGCAAGGGAACCGCCCGUCGUCGUCCACCGUCUUCCACGUGCCGUCCUUGCUCCCUGACGACCCAAUCUCGUCCUCCUCAGAGGGAAAGUGGUCCUCCCAUGCUCGACGCUCCCGGAGGAACCCCGGGGCGAUCCCGUCCAUGCCAUAGAUCGUCCUCUUGAUCUCGGACUCGGGGUCGGUGGGGGUGCGCAUCAUACAGGCGAGCGCCACCACUCCGUCCGCUCGCCCCGACUCUGCCCGGAUCGCGGCAGGCGCCCCCAGGAGGAGCCACGCUGGAGUGGGAGGUCCGUACACCGGCAAAUUUCCCUCUUGAUCGCCGGGCUCUUGCGACGCCAGUGGCGCCGGUUCGGCCAAACCUUGAGGCGGGGGCUCGAGUGGCUCGUCCUCUUGACCCCCCAGCUGCUGCUGCUGUUGCUGCCCCAGCUGCUGCUGCUGCUCCUCCUGCUGAUGCUGCAGCUGCUCCUCCGGCUGGGGUUGUUGCUGCUGCUGCUCCAGUGACGGUGGCGUCGCCUCGCGCUCCCGCUCCUCCUCCUCCAUCUUCCUUUGCGCCUCGAGAGCUCGAAGGCCUGCAGGCCAGGGAGUCCGUCCCGCGACGUUGGGGGUCGACGCUUCUUCCUCCAUAGGGCGAGCGCCCCAGACGUUUCGUUGCCAUCAGACGUAUCGCUGAUGGUGAUGGGUUCCCCCUCGACCCCCAAUCGAGGGGGCUCGGGGGCUCCCUCUGACGCUCGCGUCUGGGGGGCCGCAUCAUGAGUCGGCGGCGACGGAGUAGGCGCGGGACGAGAUGAAGCCCUCUCGACGCCGGCUGGAGGUUGGGGGCUGGAUGAGCCUACAAAACAAAGGGUAAGGGUCAGACGUUAUGAUAACCAACACAAGAACAUCGCGACGCCCGGGAAUUAACUACGAACCUGGUUCCUUGGAGGCGGCACCCGUUCUGAGCCUCUUGGCCAUAGACGGUUGGGCCUGCUCAAGGGUCCGCUUCAGCCAGAGAAAAGGUCGGCAUAUGAGGAAAGGUGGAAGAAUGGGAGGACAAAAACCGCAACAUCAAAAAGGCUUACCCCACGGGGAGCACGGCUCGCCUUCCGCCACCCCGACCAGCGGGCCUCGAGCCACCCCGCGUCGGGGCUCCAGGCCCCUCGAGGGCACGAACCGGCUUAGGUACGUCGGUCCCCGCCUGGCGGACGCCGGGACCCGCGCUCCUACGGCCGGCGUCUCCUUUCUCAGAGGCCGCGGCGCGACCACGAGUUAGCGGCCCCGACGCCUGGGACCUAGCCGGACCGCUCUCCCUGGGCACCGGGGGGGGCGCGGUGCGUCUUGGCCCGCCUUGGGCGCGGGAGGGGUGUCGGCCCGGGGACGACGAGAUCCGCUCGGACCCUCCUCUGGCGCCUCCGUCCGGGGGGCGUCGACGUCACCUCGAGGCGGGCCCUCGAGAAUCCGAUCGAGGCGCGACGCCAUCCCCUCGGAGUCGUCGCUGUCCUCGUCGUCAUCGUCAUCAUCGUUGGGGGAUUCUUCCUCAGGCUCCCCCCUCUGCCUGGAUUUGGCUCGACGCGCCUCUAAUGCUUGGCGGUCGAGGUUCUUCUUCUUCUCCCCCUUCUUUGCAGAGUCCUUGGCAGACUUCAGCUUUUCGGCGGAUUGGCGCCGUUUGUCGCGAUCGACCUCGUCCUCCUUUACCGGAGGCCUCGAGGACCGGACAUCAAUCCGACCCUGCCAAAACUACAGUAGACUUAGAAAAAAGAGAGGGGAGAAAGGAAACCCAGAGUCGGGGAUGCGCGCAAGAAGAAAGCGUACCAGAUCGAUCGAGCCUCCGUCAGGUCUCAUGGGGAAGCCGUUGACAUGCUCCGGCUGAAAAUCACCGGCAAUGGCAGCCCUGACUCGGGCCGCGACUUCGUCGUCCGCCGGAGCCUCGUUUGACAUCCGACACGCCUCGAGGUCCCGAGAUGAGACGCCAGGGCCCAUCUCGUCCAUCCUCAACGGUCGUGACAUCAGAGGGAGAACUCUCCGGUGAUGGACGGCCGAGAGGACGAGGGCGGCGGUCAAACCUUCCUGGCGAAGCUUCUUCAGGGCGUCAAGGAGGGGGUCGAGCCGAGACUGAUGAGCUUGGACGACGCCGUACGUCCAGUCCGCUGGACGCUCCAAGAUCAGACGGCCCGAGUAGGAAGGCAGGAGGUUGUCGUCAUUCCGCAGGUAGAACCACUGGGAGUCCCAGCCGGCGUGGUUGGUCGAUAACCCUACCGGGAUGUACUCCCGCGGCCGGUCCGUCUUCCCCGUCUUCUGCACCAGAUUGAGGCAACCCGCCCGCACGGGCUUCCUUACGCCCGUAGUUCCGGUGGGGGCGUGAAACAGCUCGCCCCUGUAGAGGUGGAGCCACAGCUCCCAGUGCGGCAUCAUCCCCAGGAAGCCCUCACACACGGCGGCGAAGACCGCCGCUACGGUGAUGGCGUUCGGAGAGAAGUGCUGGAGCUCCACCCCAUAAUGGAAGCAGAGGGCCCGCAUGAAGCGGCUUGGGGGCGCGCCCAGACCGUGGCGGUGGAACUUGGUGUCGGUGUUUUUCCCCCGGGAGGUCACACCAACGAGUAAAUUUGUAUGCGUGCUCCCUUUUCCGGAUGGUGAUGCAAGAAGACACAAAGAUUUAUCCUGGUUCGGGCAAGAGAAGGCCCUACGUCCAGCGGGGGGAGAGAGUUUGUAUUAUCUUGCACCUAAGUGCUUGUACAGGGGCGAAUACAAGCGUGGUAUGAAGUGUGGAGCUCUACUACGUAUGAGCGUGGUCUUGUGUCGUGAUCCUCUUUCUAUUCCUGAGUCCCUCCUUUUAUAGCUCCAAGGAGAGACCUAGGGUACAUGCGUAGAUGUUAGAGUAGGGGUCGAUAGCCGCAUGGAGCGCCGACCUACUCGAGGCUUCCGUACGACAUGGCCUCGAGCCGUCCCAUCUUGAUAGCCCGGUGAUGAUUACGCGUGCUUCUGCGUCCUACCUUGCCCGCCGCCUUGCGCUAGUUCUGAGGUCGCACGCUUGUACGGUAUGGCGGCAGAUUCGGCGGGGUAGUUGUGGUGUUGUCGGUCGACGCCCCACUCGUCCCUAGGAAGGGUCCCUGUUCGGUCGAGGGUCGGACGCCAUGUAACUCGCUGAUAUCUGGAGCGCUGACCUUGGGUGUCUCGAGGGGGGUCCCGAUUAGACGUUCCAUCCUUGUUUCCUGUGUCCUGUCAUGCCCUGGGUCGUUCGGCGGGAAGGCUGCAAAAAGAUUGAUGGGACGGAAGCCUGUUCCCUAUCACGCCUUCCGUGACCUGUGUGUUAGGUGGGGAAGCAUCAGGCGCACUUAAUGCUCCGGCCCGCGUGCGCGCGUCAGGCGGCGGACAGUGUCCUUGCGCUCGACGCCUCUCGGUUCGCUCGAGCCUGCUUCCGUAUUCGACGGCAGCCGGCGCUCGACGCCUGAUCGAUUCGCUCGACGCUAUUUCCGUCUUCGAGGUUGCGGCCGUCGAUGGCGGCGCAUACGUAAGAUUAGAGCGUCGAAUUGAGGGUUUCGACUUGCGUACGGGCAAUCUCGUAAUGCGCAUCGCUGAGGGUACCCCUUACUGAUACCCUCGACACUUGGCGAACGACACCACGUAGCCCUCGGGCGGCUGAGGCCCCCUGUGACUUGCCGGCGGCGCGAUCCACUCUGGCGACGACAGCGAGGUGCGGCGGCGCAGCAGUCCCUCCUUCUCAAGCUCUAACAGCCGGCGCUCCGUCAUCGACGACGGGCGCCAGUCGUCGGCGGCGACGAGUCUUACAGGCAUCUCGGCUGAAGGGACGGUGGGUUUACUACAGCUCGAGGGGGCGUGUGCGCGUGAGACGGCGAAGGAAUAAGAGCGAGAAGGCGGAAGGGAGAGGAACGGCGGCGACGCCACGACGUACUUAUAGGCAGCAGUCCGCCAACGGACAGAUCCGAAAAAUAAGGUAACACCCUCCCUUAAAUGCGCCACCUAAUCGUCCUCUCUCUCCUCACAGGUCGGACUCUCCGAAUUCCCCGCCGAUACAGUGUCGUAACGUCAUCCGCCUAAAAAGGCGCGCCCAACGGGCAGAAAGGCGAACCGCCACGGCCGCUUCCUUCCCUCGUAAGCCAAGGUAUGCGCCCACAAUAGUCUCGAGAGGUCGAUGGCUGGCCCGUCGAAAGGGUUCGACAGCCGAUCUCGAGCACCAAGAGUCAGGGAUCCCCAGCGAGCGGUCGAAAAUCGAGGCCCGCCUCGAGGACUCGCUGGCGAUGUCUAAGGUAGGGUCGAGACAGUCGAGAGGAAUCCCCCCGAAGGGAGGCAUCGAGCCGCUGGACUCUAUCGAAUGAGACCGGUAUCCCCGACCACGUCGACCCUGCUUUAUGAGGACGCCUCCGGGCUACAGCUGACCCCCUCGAAAGGGGCACAGGUUCUCACUUGGACUACCCGCUAGGAACUCAAUUUGGGGUGGAAGACGCUCGCUCUAUCGAGAGUACGUCGAAACCCCCGUGCAAAACGAGCCAGUCAGAACCUUCCACCAAUGGUGUCGAAAGCGUUUCCGCGAAUUAGACAACAUAACCCUCGAAGGAGUCAAAAACUCCUCCGAGGGCUCGGGGGCUACCCCCGCGGGGUCGCUCGCGCGCCCCCACGGAAAUUCGACCGCAAAACAAAGCCUCCACUCGAGCGCUAGCGCUCAAAUGGAGGUUCGAGGGCUACUGUCGAGGGUAUCAGUAAGGGGUACCCUCAGCGAUGCGCAUUACGAGAUUGCCCGUACGCAGGUCGAGACCCUCAAUUCGACGCUCUAAUCUUACGUAUGCGCCGCCAUCGACGGCCGCAACCUCGAAGACGGAAAUAGCAUCGAGCGAAUCGAUCAGGCGUCGAGCGCCGGCUGCUGUCGAAUACGGAAGCGGGCUCGAGCGAACCGAGAGGCGUCGAGCGCAAGGACACUGUCCGCCGCCUGACGCGCGCACGCGGGUCGGGGCAUUUAAUGCACCUGACGCUUCCCCACCUAACACAUGGGCCACGGGAGGCUUCCGUCCCAUCGUUCUUUUUGCAGCCUUCCCACCGAACGGCCCAGGGCGUGCCAGGACACGGGAAACAAGGAUGGAACGUCUAAUCGGGACCCCCUCGAGGCCUCCAAGGUCAGCGCUCCAGAUAUCAGCAUAUUACACGGCGUCCGACCCUCGACCGAACAGGGUCCCUUCCUAGGGACAAGUUGGGCGUCGACUGACAACACCACAACUACCCCGCCGGAUCUGCCGCCAUACCGUACAGGCGUGCGACCUCAAAACCAGCGCGAGGCGGCGGGCAGGGCAGAAUGCAGGAGCACGCGUAAUCAUCACCGAGCUAUCAAGAUGGGACGGCUCGAGGCCAUGUCGUACGGAAGCCUCGAGUAGGUCAGCGUUCCAUGCGGCUAUCGACCCCUACUCUAACAUCUACGCAUGUACCCUAGUCUCUCCUUGGAACUAUAAAAGGAGAGACUCAGGGAUAGAUCAGGGAGAAAACAUAAGAAACCACACUCAUACGUAGUAGAGCUCCACACUUCAGACCACGCUUGUAUUCGCCCCUGUACAAGCACUUAGGUGCAAGAUAAUACAAACUCUCUCCCCCCGCUGGACGUAGGGCCUUCUCUUGCCCGAACCAGGAUAAAUCUUUGUGUCUUCUUGCAUCACCAUCCGGAAAAGGGAGCACGCAUACAAAUUUACUCGUUGGUGUGACCCCCCGGGGGAAAAACACCGACAACUUAAAAAAAAGAAGAGAGAGAAAAGAAAAAAUGAUAGCCCAUGGUCCCUCUAAUAAGCAAUAUGCCAGCAAGAGUUGAUAAAGAUUUUAAUUUUCAAAGUCUUUGAUCUAAGAGUAUGACAUUCCUCUCCUCGAAUCCCGUUUUGAUCAGGCAAUAAAUGCAAAGUGAGUAUGCUUGAGAAUUUUUUGCAAAAUAAAACAACCUCAGUGAGAUAUAUAAAAGAUAAUGAGUGAUCUGAGAGAACCUAUGAGGAUAAAAAGGUAUGCUAAUUUUCUUUAAAAAAAAUUAAAAAAAACUCCAAGUGACAGGAUUGAGAAGAAAGGAUCUUUACUCUUAACCAUAAACAUCCCUGACUAUGGUAUACAGUGAAUUUUUUAACACCCUGCAAAUAUAAAGAAUGUUUUAAAUGUUUACCCCAAAUAUUGUUCUUAACCAUCCUUUCCUCGAGGACGAGUAAAAGCCUAAGUAUGGGGGUAUUUGUUGACGGUUCUUAAAUAUCAAUUUUAAUUAUCAAAUAAACAAGAGAAAGGACCAAUAUGCAACCAACACCUAGAAUUAGGGUUUGAUCUGACAAGAAUUCCAUGAGUUUCGUUGUUUAUCUGUUUCUGCAGAGGGUUAUCAGGAAAUAAGAAAGAAAGGCCCACAUGUUGGGAUUACAUAGAGAUAUCAACGCACCGCGCGAUUUUCUACCAUCUAGAAGACUCCAGAAGCCACGGGAAGAAGACGGAGGCCGAAAGGGGCCAGGCCCAGGGCGCCCGCCCCCUGCUGGAUCCAGUUCGGGACUCUCUUCGCACGGGAUAUUCCACCGACCUAUUGGAUCAAGAAAAACAUAGUACCACCUCGUCUACCGACCCAAAAACGCAUAGAGGAGGAGGACUAUAUAAGGAGACCCCCUGGCCCCUGGAGAAGACAUGAAGAAAUUAUCAUAGAGACUGAGGGGUGCCCUCGAAGGAAAACCUCUUCUCUAAUUUAUAUUUCUUUUUAGGCUUAGCAACCAAUGUAAGGUAGAAAUAGAUCUUCUAGUUUCUACUAGAUUGAGAGAGAUAGAGUGGAGGUGUAGAUUGGAGGAAGCCCGGCCUGUCGGUGUCUACUCCAAGCUUGUACCUGCGGGAUCAAUUUCUCCUAACCCGAAGCUUGCUCCUAGGAUUCUUCAGUAUUUCGACUUCUAAAUUCUAGUAAGUUCUUGUUUUAUUGUUCUUAUGGUUUAUGAGUUUACUUUAAUCUCUUCGCGUAGAGUUUAGAGUAAUCAUUGCUGGCGUAAACGUGGUGUUUAGGCUGGGGUACUCAUAGAUAUUCCCUGACUAGCUGGACCGUGAUAGUAGUGAGGAACGUGACAAUUCCGAGUUACCUUUGCAGAUCACAUCUCGUUAGCAGGAAGGAUAGGGUUUAUAGGUGCGGGUUGAACAUCCUUUGUGGUGUCUAGAUUCAGUUAGCCUCCCCAAUAGAACAAUAGAUCAUCCUUACCAAGGUUAGAAGGAAACUACGGUUGCAGUCUUCUCUAUUUAUCACUCACAUCAAAAGACAUUCUUUGUGCCUAAAAGGUUAGUAGUAAUAGACCGGUUAGUCAGAUGCACUCUUUCUCCUAAUGGUAAAAAAAUAAAUACGAUACUCUGGAUAAUUUUCCGGGUGAAGUGCUCACCGAUAUCCGUGCGCUUGCGGAUCAAUUCCUUAUUGCGUUCCCAAAUAUCAACAUACCACUAGCUUUAGUAGGAUUACCCCGUUGUUCUAUUGAGUGUGGAAUAGACAGGACAUCAGAUGCUGCUUCGACCUUGCAACAAAAUUCCACAAGAUUGAAGAACCCAUGGUGCUUGAACAUUCAAGAUCCGUCAUUCUAGAACCCUGCCAUCUCACAGGUUUGUGUAUACACAUAUAUAUUAUUUAUUCUAACCAUGUGUAGAUUGGAGAAAAGGUCAUCGUCACAAGAAUACAACCCCCAUCACAUGUGACGGAUAUUUAUGCUACGCCACUCAUCCUAGUUGUGUAUCAUGGUAAGUGUGAUCAAGGUGAGAUAGUCUUCUUCAUGGGCUUUAAACCUUAUGAGUAGUUAUAUUUUUAUUUUUUUAUUUUCUUGCAUACCACUGCAUGUUUACUUUGAAUCAUCCAUGCAUCCACUUCAUUUAGUUUUCUCAUCCAUGUUGGGUAUUCUUAACAUCAUUACCAAAAGUAGACUAAGUUUUCUAAUUCUGAUAACAGCGCCAAAAAUGCCAAACCUAUCCCUCAUGCCACUUAAGCCAAGUUGUCAUCCCCAGCAUGACAUAAGAUACGCGGUAUUCAAAUAUGCAAUUGCUCAUCUAAAUAAAUAACAAAUGGGAUCUGCAAGCGCACAGAUUAAUACCGAUGUAGCAUUUUAACCGGGAAGUAUUCCAUGUAUCGUUAUUUAUAUUUUUACCACUGGGAAGGGAUUAGCAAUCAUCAAUGUUGAUUAUAGAAUGGAAUAUAAGAUUGAGUAUCUAUCAUUGCAUGUAUAAUUGAGAACAUUUAUCUAACUCUUUCAUACAGGGUAAGUGUCACAUAAAGGAUAUAUAAAGUAAUGAAUAGUGACAAUGAUAAUUAAUCUGAUCAGCAUAACUUAGCCACAUAUAAAUAUGAUAAGCACCUCAAUUAGAUAUUCUAUCAAGUCAUUAGCAUCGAAUUAGGACGAACUACAAGAAUAUUUCCUAAGUUAUUCUUAACUAUACAGUCUAGCAUAUCAUAGUUAGUGCAAUUAUACUUAGCAAUCAUUGCGAGACAGGACUACGCCCAUGCAUAGUGAUAUUAGCAAGGAAUAUGAGAAACAUCGUAAUCACUCCCCUGUAAUAAUGUUGCUCUAACAACCCAAUACACGAGAGGGGGACUAUAUAAGAAUCAAUGGAGCUGUCACUACCACGAACUACCCCAUGAUCUGGCAUAUAGGGUACAAUCGCAGAUAAAUACGGUAUAAGCACCACGCCUACACAGUAUCUAUCAUUUACCCAUAGAUCCGAUAGAUAAACGCUAUACGAUACUAAGCAUGUAUAUAGAUCCAAUCUAACUAAGCCAAGUAUAUAACUAUGAUAAACUAAGAACAAUAUAAUUGCGAAUAUAAACAAGUAGAACAAAGUCAUAACCAAUAUAUUGAAGUAGAACAAAGUCAUAUUCAUAAUAUUGAAGAACAAAGAUGAACAAAUGAAGAACAAUAGAGAAUUACCAAGAAUCCUCUUGACAGAUGCGGAAACCAAUUGAAGAUUGACUCCUUCUAGUUCUAAUCCUAUGUAGCUAUGCUAAUCUAGAUGUCUAAUUGAUGUGGUGGCUCUAGGCUUGAUCAGAGGCUUCUUCUCCCUUGAUGGAUAAUGAAUUAGGUUUGAGAGGUCCCCUCCUCCAGGGGCCAGGGGGUCUGGUUUUAUAGUCCUUUCAAGUGAAUAUUGGCCGUUGGAUGAAACCGACAUUGAUUGAACGGUUAUCCUUGAUCCUUUAGGUCGGUGGAGCGUAAUCCCGAAAGAGAGUCCUGAUUGAACUCCAAAGGGGGGCGGGCGCCCUGGUACCUUGGGCGGGCGCCCUGGGCCAGGCCCCGUUCUGCCUCCGCUUCGUUCUCGUGGCUUCUGGAGUCUUCUAGAUGUAAGAUAAUUGCACGGCACGUUAAUAUCUCUAUGUAAUCUUGACAUGUGGGCCUUUCUUCCAUAUUUCCCGAUAACCCCCUGCAGAAAUAGACAAACACCAAAACUCGUGGAAUUCUGUCAGAUAAAACCCUAAGUCUGGAUGUCGAUUUCAUUUGGAUCCUUUUCUUUGUUUAUUUGAUAAUUAAAUUUGAUACUUAAGGACCGUCAACAAACUCCCCCAAGCUUACCUCUUGCUCGUCCCUGAGCAAGGAUAAUCUCAGCGAUGGAUCAGAAGUUGUUGUAAUGCCUUUAAAAAUUGACAGUACAUAUACUUUUAAAUAAGGUCUCAUCUCUGAGUUAGAGUAAACUGUCAAGACUUAAAACUUAUUCAUUUUACCUUUCUCCAUGGGACUUGUAACCGUCACUUCUAUCUUGAGUAGUUAAAAGAUAGAACAGUCUAGUCAAGUGUCAUGUCUCUUAUUCUUGAUCAGCUAUAACUCUGGAGUUUUUGCAGAUUUUUAAAUAAAACUCAGAGAUUCCUUGUAUGACUCUCUUAGAUCUCUCUUUUGUGGUAUUUCUGGAUCCUUACCAAGGCAGUGCUGGUAUACGCCUUCUCUCAAUAUAUAUGGUAUUUGUGGUAUAAGGCAUAGUGACAUUGCCUUCUCUCUCACCCUACUCUAAUAAGGCUUUUGAUAUCUGGAGCUCAUAGGUGGGAGAUAAAGUAUACAUACUCACAAGACAUUUAUUGUAUAGUCAAACCAUGGAUCCAAAGUAACAAGUCAAUAAGUCAAAUCAAGAUGUGCAUGUGUGGCGAAUGAAUGGUGUAUGGUGAUGAUGGUGAUAACAAUGGUGAAAGUCUAAUUCUACUUUUUGCUCUUUUGAGGGGAUAUAUACCUUUCUUGCUCUUUGAAACUUUGUGAGGAGAAUGAGAUGCUCUACUUUUUCUCUUUUUUUUCUCUCUCAGGUGGGUAUCUUGUACCCCUAAUUCUACUGUCGGACACUUGUCCAUUUUUACCUCUCGUCUCACUUUUCCUUUUCUUUCGAGGUUCCGGGCACUUGCCCCUUUUUAUUUCCUCGUAUCUCUUUUUUUUAGAGCACUCAUCUCAUGAAAUAAUAUAGCAAGUGGUAGUAACCAUGAUAAGUUGAGCAUUUAUUUCACAGGGGAAAACAGAAAUUUUUUUUGGUUAUUCUCUCCCGAAUUAGGAGUAGAAUAUUUUUGGGUGGUUCUGGAGAUGGAAAAGGUUGGAUAUAUGUGGAUGCGUACUUCCAGAGUAGAAGCAGCAUGUGUGAGUGAACGUGCAAGUGAAUCUUGAUUUUAACCACAUGAUAAGCUCCUAAGGGUCUACACAGAUUGACCACACUCAAAGCUCAUAAGCAGUAAAAAGUAAAUGUGUGGCUCAAAGUCUAGCAAACAUGUAUAUAUGGCUGUGGUAGGAAUUUAAACUCUCAUCAUACAGGAACUCAUCAUGUAACAUUUUAAAGAUUUUCAAAGAAAAAUUCUCCAGAAUUCUAGCAUCUCUAGGAAUAGAUAAACAACAGCUCAACCUUCCCAUAUCAUAUCCGUUAACAACCAAAACUUUAGAUCAAGUUUUCUUCCCACAAGUUUAGGUUUAGAGCAAGCUUUAAAUUAUAACAGUUAUGUCUAAACUUGAGAGAGAACUUCAAAAUUUUGAAAAUUAGGCAGAGCAACUAUUCAUCAUAUCCAUGCUAGAGUUUUAUUAUUUAAGAUUCAGUUUAGCAUAGCCACUUUAUUUAUUUAUUAAACAAACUAAGCAAA